GAGCAAGACGGUGUCCUCCCGCCGCAUGCAGAAGAGCUGUUGGUCCGUCACCAACACGCCGAACGGCACAACGUCAAGGUAGCUGUAAAGCUGCGCUACGCACUUGACGAUGUUACUGUCGCUGUCAGCGGCCGCGUACAUAGCUGGCAGGUUGCUGCUUUGUGGCACACAGAUCACGGCCGAUGUCUUCAUUUCGAUUGUCACCAGCAGCUCCUUGUUGAUACGGGACUCCAGCACGAGACCCGAGCGUCCUGCAGUGGCAUGCAGAAUGAAACACACAUUGUGUAGGCCACCAAUCCCAUAGGCGCAAUGUUAGCGAAGCAAGCAGUAUCUAACUACAGCAUCAUGCGUGCUAUGUACUAUCGUCUCCACGUCCCAACCAGCUUGUCACAAAAAGACCGGGAAGACGGGUUGCAUGACCCCGCCGCACCUGCUGAUGCGUUUGUCCAGAUGCCCUUCGUCACGCAGUGCGUUCCGCAGUCGGCCUCAAAGAACCCGUCCGAACGCGACAAGGCCUGCUGCAGCGGCACAAGGAGUUGGGUGAGGAGCUUUACGCGCAGGCUGUCCUCGCUGCCCACAUCCGCAGAAGUCGCCGGCACCACCAGGUUGACAGGGCCGCCGUCACGCAGCACGCGCAGCAGUGCCCCGCAGUCCUCGUUGAAUGUGUGCCAGAGCGCGACCACCGACGGCCCUGCACACUUCACGCCCAUCAUCUGUGAUGAGGCAUACGGCAGCAGCAGCUCCAGCCGGUGUGGUUCAUAGUUGCUGAGGAAAUCGCUAACAGAUGUGAAGCGGUGGGUCCACCCCAGCAAGGUUUCGGGCGCCGCCUCUGCAUUGAAAAGGCGACCGUGUAAUUUGUCAUGUGCUAGCAGUUGGUACUGAGCGAGCAGAAAGGACUCCCAUGCAAGCAUGUUGCAGAGCAAAUCCUUGUCGCAACACAAACUCACCGGCUCCUGUCGGCCUCCCCACACCCGGGCCAGCCGCCGAGUCUGCAUGACGUGGGAGCGUGCGGGAGCGGCCAGGGGCACAUGAAGUUUAGGAAUGCAUGCCGCUAUGCGUUCUAGGCGCGAGCUCUGCCAUCACCCAGCGACGCAUGUCCUUGUUAGACUCAUUGGGCUCAUUUUAGCGCUUUGUCGCUGACGCCGGCACCGCUGACGCUGUCAGGUAGCUCCGGCUGUGAGGCGAGGUUGGCUUAGACAAUAAGGGUUAUAGUUCCCGAUUGCUCUACCUCUAGGUUGCUAGGGGGCUUGGUAACUUUUAUACUACCACCAGUGGCUCUAGGCCCAUCGACCCCCACUGCCAGAGCUCCUCCUGCCCCCAGCGGCCCAACCGCCCCCAGCGGCCCCAGCCUGACUGCAGCGCCCCCAGCGGCCCCAGCGCUCCUACUGCCCCCUCCGUCCCCACCGCCCCAAGCGGCCCGAGCGGCCCUAUCGCCCCCACCGGCCCCAGCGGCCCCACCGCCCCCAGCGCACCCAGCGCACCCAGCAGCCCCAACGCCCGCACCACCCCACCGCCCCCAGCGCUCCUACUGUCCCCAGCGGCCCCAGCGCCCCACCCGCCCCCAGCGGCGCCAGCGCACCCAACGCCCCCACCAGCCCCAGCGGCCCCAACGCCCCUACCGCCCUCAAGUUGAAAGUGGUCGGUCCUCCAGUCCUUUUACGCUUUGGGGUAAGCUAAACUGUAACAUCCUUAAUCGUUGAAGCAGUGGGCAUUAGGCCACUAUAUGGUCCUAGCCCCUUAUUCGUCCUGUUGUGGUGGGUGGAGGCAGGAGGCACCCCAUGGCGAGAAGCCGAAGGUUGGCUCAAACGCUGCAGGCAAGUAGUAGUCUGAUACUGAGGGUGAUGCUGAAAGUAAGCUGCAUAGGGCGCAUGAUGGCCUCCGAUGUGCCCCCACAUACCGAGCUUCUCGAGCAGAAGAUGCUCCGUCUUCAGUAGCAAGAGCGCCUUCUCCCUGUAGUAUCGUCGGUCCUUGGCGUCCGUUGCCGAAUCCGCUAGGGCCGACACCCGACGUAUCUCUGCUGGUAUGUCACGAAGUUCCUUUCGCAGCCUCUCCUGUUCCUCCAUGUGCAAAGGGCCGCGCACGCGUCGGCAGACGGCCUGAGUAUCACUCGGGUUAUACGUAAUGCAUCAGCCAGAGUAUGUCAUGUCAUUAGUACUAGCGCUUCAAACUUGCAUCUGAUCGUUGCGGCACAAACCCUGGCGUAGUGCGCGGGGCCUGUGUUACAUUCCCCCCGCCCCCCAGGAGCGGAAGCCCCAAGAGCGAAUGUCUUCUCUGAUGUCAGUACUACAAAGCGUUUGAGAAGCCCGGCCCUCCACGAGGUGGGAAAGUGCGUAUUAAGGUGAGGGCCCACGAUCUUCGCCAGCUGUAUCGCUAAGGCCAUCCCAGGCUCCCUUUGCUAGCUGGCAACCGACCAGGUGGAUGCAAAGAGUCCAGCUCCUGCAGCGCCUUACCCAAAAGCUCCUGCUGGUCUUCCGAGGAAAGCGCCUUGCGCUUGUCCGUGCCAGGCGGCCAGAUGCGCUACAUCCACGGCAGCACCCGCUACCCUGCAGCUUCUGCUGUUUUGCAUGCGCCGGAACGCUCGCACGGUUGCGGCUUGCUGCUGUGCGCCUGGCUGGUGACCUGAUAACGCCUUUCUGACUGUAACACGUGCACGGGUAGCACGGUAGUACGGUACAACGACUGCUGCCUGGCCGUAUAACACAAAAAGCCGCUGGGCUGGUUCCGCAACCUACUCUGCAAGCGGCGCGGGUACCCCAUUAAGCCCGCGUGCUUGGUGAUCUUCCUUGUCUGUCUUUGGCGACCCCCGAAUCGCACCGCUGAACUCCCUCGCCGAUACCGGUGACUCAGAAUACAAGGAGUGAAGCUGCAUCUGCAACGUGACCAAAGCCCAUCUGAACGAUUUGGUGCUCCCACACGCAGCGGGGCGGCUGGUGGGCGCGCGCGAGGCAAAGCAUUGCCUUGCGCGGCUUUCCAAGCCAGGGGCGGACUGCGCUGCGGCAGGCUGGAGGCUCGGGGCUGGGGGCUGGGGGCUGGGGGCUGGGGGCUGGGGGCUGGGGGCUGGAGGCUGGGGGCUGGGGGCUGGGGGCUGGGGGCUGGGGGCUGGGGGCUGGAGGCUGGAGGCUGGGGGCUGGGGGCUGGAGGCUGGGGGCUGGGGGCUGGGGGCUGGGGGCUGGGGGCUGGGGGCUGGGGGCUGGGGGCUGGGGGCUGGGGGCUGGGGGCUGGGGGCUGGGGGCUGGGGGCUGGAGGCUGGGGGCUGGGGGCUCGUGGGCUGGGCUGGGGGCUGGGGGCUGGGGGCUGGGGGCUGGGGGCUGGGGGCUGGGGGCUGGGGGCUGGGGGCUGGGGGCUGGGGGCUGGGGGCUGGGGGCUGGGGGCUGGGGGCUGGGGGCUGGGGGCUGGGGGCUGGGGGCUGGGGGCUGGGGGCUGGGGGCUGGGGGCUGGGGGCUGGGGGCUGGGNNNNNNNNNNNNNNNNNNNNNNNNNNNNNNNNNNNNNNNNNNNNNNNNNNNNNNNNNNNNNNNNNNNNNNNNNNNNNNNNNNNNNNNNNNNNNNNNNNNNGGGGCUGGGGGCUGGGGGCUGGGGGCUGGGGGCUGGGGGCUGGGGGCUGGGGGCUGGGGGCUGGGGGCUGGGGGCUGGGGGCUGGGGGCUGGGGGCUGGAGGCUGGGGGCUGGGGGCUCGUGGGCUGGGCUGGGGGCUGGGGGCUGGGGGCUGGGGGCUGGGGGCUGGGGGCUGGGGGCUGGGGGCUGGGGGCUGGGGGCUGGGGGCUGGGGGCUGGGGGCUGGGGGCUGGGGGCUGGGGGCUGGGGGCUGGGGGCUGGGGGCUGGGGGCUGGGGGCUGGGGGCUGGGGGCUGGGGGCUGGGGGCUGGGGGCUGGGGGCUGGGGGCUGGGGGCUGGGGGCUGGGGGCUGGGGGCUGGGGGCUGGGGGCUGGGGGCUGGGGGCUGGGGGCUGGGGGCUGGGGGCUGGGGGCUGGGGGCUGGGGGCUGGGGGCUGGGGGCUGGAGGCUGGGGGCUGGGGGCUCGUGGGCUGGGCUGGGGGCUGGGAGGAGGGGGCGAGGCCAGGGGUUGGGCGAGGCGGCAGGGGGCUGGCGGCAAGAUGGGUGUGACCCACACGAACAUCUACUGGGCGGCGGCAUGCCAGUACGAUUAGGGGACGACCACAGGUGGUGACAGGACAGGGCAGGACGCGUAGGGGACGACUACAGGUGGUGACCGGCAGGGGCAGGACGGGGGCGAAGAGCCCUGCCGGUGCUGGCUAGGGUCUAGGGACGUUGGCGUUUCGUGGGUCGCUGGGUCCCUGCUUCAGCUGGCGGGCGUGCAGGAGUUCCAGUACCAACACGAUGCUCUCAGCACGUUCUGUAGCUAUGGCAUCUCAUGGGCGUGCUCGUGGGCGCUGCUGCACAUCCCGAGGCGCCCCCAAAAAGUUUCUCGCACCCUUGAAUUGGCUCACAUUGACUUGCUGUAUGAGGCAAGUGAUACCAGUUUCAAACAUACGAAUUCAGUAAACUACAAAAGGGACAAAACGCUGGCGUUGCGGUGUCUGCUUGCAACGAGUCCCGACGGAUAAGAACUGGGCCGACCUCCUCUUGAUUGAAUUGAGUGAUCUGCAUUAUAUCACGCUAAUUUGUAGCUGAUAGAGAGAUGAGGUCUGCGCUGCUCAAGCCGAGCACUCGGCUGCAUGCUGGCGCUCGCCCAGUCCUGGGCGCCCGCUUGGGCGUUGCGCCGAAGCAUCAAAACAUUUUGGUGAUCGCUAAUGCUGCUCCUGCCGAGGGCGCGUCUGGCGUGGCCGUUGCCGAUUCCCCUGCUCAAGCCACACAUGAGCAUGCGCCCGUCGCCAGCGAGCCUGUUGCCAAUGGCGCGGCUCCAGAGGCAGGUGCCAAGAAUCAGCGCAAGAGUGGAAAGAAAGGCGAGCGGAAGAACGACAAACCCUCCGCUCGUCAGGUUAUUGAGGCGAGGCUGGAGUCGCUUCUCGCAGGAGAGGCUGUGGGUGAGUUGGGGUCGGUGUGGGUCCGGCCUGCGUGGUGGAGCUGCUUGUGGAACACCUUCGGGCGGAGUCAAAGGCUGUGACGCGAGAUUGCGCGUAAUUAUGCACGCCACGGCGUAAACGGUGGCUUGCGGCGUCAGCUACAGCCAUGGCCUCCUCGCGCCGCCCCACACCGCCGCACCCCUCACCGCCCCACACCGCACCGCAUUGCCCCACAUCGAUUCAAACUCUUCAUACCCUGCCCGAUCGCAUACACACGCAGGCAUGUCCAUGGCUGCCACUACCUCGGACGUGGCUGUGGGUUUCCGCGGCCUGCGCCCCCUGUCCGACGAGCUCCGCCGCAAGCAGCAGACGCUGCUGUUCUUCCCCUCGACCGCCCUGCAGCAACAGAAGCAGCCACAGCAAGAGGAGGCGGCGCCAGCCGAUGCCGGCGCCGCUGCCGAUGCCGCUGCGCCGGAGGCGAACGGCGCGGCUGCUGAGGCUGGGUCGGACGCCGCAGCUGCCAGCCCCGCGCGGAACCUGGAGCUUGCGUUGGUUUCGGUGCCGCGGUUCCGCGCGCCCACAGCCGACGUGACGCUGCGUGUUGGCGCCAGGUGAGCAUGUGCGUGUGUGCCAUGUCGCAAAGUUUGUCAGGGGAGAGCAUACGAACUGGUGGGCUCUUCCAUCACCGCUCCCAGGUGCAUUCUAACGGCUGUCUGCGGCGUCCCCCUCUGCACAUGCGCUUUUCCCGGUGCUCAGCAACAACAGCACGUCAUGCCUGGAACCCCAUCGCACUCCACCCCUCACUCCAUUCAUCAUCCCUGUAACCCUCAAUCCCCUGCCAGGUCGGACGUGGGCACGAUGUCGCGUAUGCUCACGCGCGCGCUCAUCCAGUCGUCCGCAGUGGCCAUCCACGCCGCCGCCCGCCGCAACCUGUCCUCCUCCAAGCAGGUGCGCGCCGCAGGGGUUGUAGCGGGAGGGCCCCUGGCGUGCCGUGCCAGCACGCCGGCACCGUGUGUGGCGGCGUACGGAAACCAGCGGUACACGCCAUACGGCUGCGCCUGUACGACGUCCAGCAGCAGCACGGAAGUCGCGGAGCAUCAUGGGGCCAACUUUGGGGUCAAACUUGGGGUCAACUUGAUGGGGCCAACUGUGGCACAGAGCCGGUAGUUGGUGCAGUGGGCAAGGGUGUAGCUUUGACGCUCUGAGCCCUGACCGCUUUUUUACCCAUCUGCUUGCCUGCCUGCCCUAACGCGCCCCCGGACUCAAAGGAGUUAGUGGGGCCACAUGGACUCGAACCCAUGUAAAUGCUCAUGCUCAUGCUCUGCCCUGUUGCUGUGUUGUCUUUCCUAUGUGUGUACGGCAGGUAGACCUGGCGUUCACGCUGGAGUACCUGCGUGUGCCAGCAAGUGAGAGCAGCGUGGGCCUGGCGGGCUGCGGGCUGGGCGUGGGGUUGGGCAGGAAGAAGAGGUGUAGGGGAAAGGGAUGGUGCGGGGGCAGGGGACGGAAGGGUGGGCAAAGUAAGCGUUCAUGCACCAUUGGGGAAGGCGCGGGCCCCGACACGGCCGGUACCUGUGUGUGGCCUGCCGUUGGCGGUACACCGACACCCGCACCCGCAUUCGCACCCGCCCGGUGCCGCUCUGCUGCCGCAGCCACCGCCGGCCCCAAUGCCGCCGCCGCCGCGCCGGAGGCGGCCGCUGCCGUGCCGGAGGCCGCUGCCGCCGCUGCCGCCGCUGCCGAGCCGGCCCCGGCCGCUGCCGAGGCCCAGCCGGCUGAGGCGGGCAAGGAGGGCAAGGCGGAGGGCCCCAUGACCUCCAUCCUUCAGUUCAGCUUCUACAAGCGCGCGCUGCCCACACCCGAGGUGGUGGUGGCGGACUUCGCCGCUGUGGUGAGAGAUCGCGCAGGGAUAGAGGCGAGCGAGUGUGUUUAUUGUUGGGCCACAAAAGGAAGAGUGUGUGUGCUGUGUGAGACGAGGCACGUAUGGGCGUGGCUUGCGAGGGGGCUGGCGGCGCUUGGGUUAGAGGGCUCCGCGAACGUGUGCGGGGCCCGUGGACUGCUGUCACCUUGACACGAGGAGGGGGCGCGAGCAAAACUGGGUAAUGGGCGCGACGAGUCACGUGCCACGCGUUCAUGCUCUACUGCCGCCUCACCGCAAUGAAGCCACCUCCAGCAACGCAACCCGGGCCUCACUGUCCACCGCUCCCAUCCCUCCUGUUUGAUACUUGCUGCCCCCUGAUCCCCCUGCUUGUAUCCUGCUCCCAAUGUCUUUUAACCUUGCAACCCCUCCCCGCCGCCGCCACCGCAGCGCGCCGCCCGCCCGCUGACCCAGCUGCUGGUGUCGCUGCUCGCUGAGCGGCGCGAGGUGGAGCUGGUGCUGGCCAGCCGCGACGCCGUGUUCGCCAUGCAGGCCCUGGCGCGGGCGGUGCGCGAGUGCUGGGCCACCAACAAGGGUAGGAGGGGGGAGCGGGAGUGGGAGGGGAAGGGGAAGGGGGAGCAGGAGCGGGAGCGGGAGCGGAAGGGGAAGAUGGCAAGGGGGAAGGGGAGGGGGAUAGGUUAUCCCGUUCCGCAAGAAAACGAGACCCAGAACCAGUCCAAGGCGGAGGGAUACGUGAGGCGAGAGGAGAUUUGCAGGAAGGAGGUGGCCUGGUGGGGAGAGGAGGUCAGGGCGCGAGGAGCCAGGAAGGACGAGUAGGGGCCCUCGCCGGUUUCGUUUGGUUUGCAAGAGCGGUGUGCGGGGACUGCUCCCCCCGGCGGCCUGAAUGCCGGUACAACCGCGGCCGCCUCUCCAGCUCCCAUCCUCCAACCUACCACAAUUUACCGUACAUGUUUCCACGCAGCCUCCGUGGGCGUGUUCCUCACCUCUCUGGAGACGGACGCCUCCGUGUCGGACGCCGACGCCGCCACGCCCACCGGCCUGGCCCCCGCCGGCCCCGGCACGCGCCCGUACACCGCCCGCCUGCAGCUGCGCCGCAUCCCCGGCGCGCCCAACCUGGUUGCGGCCAGUGGCGGCGGCCGGCAGCGACAGUCACUGCUGGGGGCGCCGCUGGGCGAUGUGAAGCGCGACACGCCCAUCACCGGGCUGGCCGCGGCCAUGAACCGCGAGGUGGGGAGCGACGGCGUGUGUUGGGAAGCGCAUGGGCAGGAACGCACGAAGGACAAAACACACGAGGGGAGGCACACAACGAAUGCGUGUCAAGUCAUGAGGGAGUGCGGCACGCACGCGCAGGGCCCUGGCGUUGCCGCCUGGUCGAAAAUUCUCAUUUCCCGCCCUACCCAACCCUCCCUCCCCGUUCCUCCCCGCCUUGCUGCCCCCGUCGCGCGCAGCUGGACUCGGCCGGCGUCUACUCGGUGCUGCCGCAGGAGGGUGUGUGUGUGGCGCGUGCGCUGCUGGCGCUGUGGGAGGCCCAGCGCACUCGCGGCGCCGCCUACCGCGCCAACGCGCCCGCCGCCGCCGGCACCGCCUCCGACGCCUCAGACCCCGAGGCGCCGCCGGCGUCGUCGCUGCUGCAGAUCGCGAUUGUGCCAGAGACGCAGAUGGAGGGCGGCGCCGCGGCGCCGGCGGAGGCGCCCGGCACGCAGCAGGGCGGCGGCGGCGGCGAGAGCGACCAGGAGGGCGGCGAGGGCGGCGCGGCGGGCGCCCGCCGCCGCCGCGGUGCGGGCAUGCGCGCGACUGUGCUGCACAUGGUGGAGGUGGGUUUGAUGGAAGCGCAGGGGCAGGGGCAGGGGCAGGCGCGGUGGUCAGGCGUGGUGGUCAGGGGCCGGGGCAGAGGACGGCAGGCGCGGUGGGUGUGAUUGUGGGAAGAGAAGGUGCAGAUACUCGGGCAGCGAAUUGGACAUAAGGGCAUGGGAUGGGGACUUGGCGUGGGACGGGCGCUCUUGGUGCUUCAGCAGGUGUGCGCCCAGGGUCUUCGGAGGGUCCCAGGGUCUUCGACACCGUGCAUGCGGAACACGCGCAAGCAAGCAGACAACACGACGUGUGUUUGUGGUGUGUGUGACGGCGGCAGGUGACGCCCGUGCUGGCUAGCACUCUGCGCAUCAAGGACGGCGCCGUGGUGCCCAUCACCGGCGGGGAGCAGCUGGCGCAGCUGAGCAAGGCGGUGGUGCUGCGCAACCGCAUGUACGGCGGCCGCCGCGACGGUGAGCAUGGGUGGGCGUGUGCCGUGUGCCCGUGAGUGUGUGUAUGUGUGUGUUUGUGUGACGAGGCGGUGGGUGUGCGCGGCCAGGUUUGGGGGAGCUGCCGACGCAGGAGGAUGACAGGGAGUGUGCGGGAGCAAGGAGUGGAGGUACGGCGCGUUCACGCGCCUAUGCCCCUCUUGUACGGUAUUCCCUUCCAUACUUGCCAUGUUUCACCGACACGGCUACCCCCCCCCCCCUCGGCCGCUGUCUCGCUUUCUCCCCUCAGCCACGGCUCUGGUGAUGACGCCCCUGCUUGACGACGCCGGCGCACUGGCCGUCAAGAUGCAGUACGUGCCCGCCGCCCGCAUCGCCGACCUGCCGCCGCCGCCGCCGCCGCGCGGCACCGCCGCCUCCGAGGGCGCCACCGAGGAGGAGGCCCUGGUCACCGCCGGCGGCGAGGCCGGCGCCGGCGCCGUAGGCAGCGGCAUCGCCGCCACCCGACCCAGCAGCACCGGCAGCAUCGCCGCCGCCGCCGCGGCGGCCGCUGCCGCGCGGUUCUUCUCCGACCCCUCGCCGCCGGCGGCGGACGCGUUUGCUGCUGGCUACAUGACUGAUGAUGAGUACGGCAUCGGCGCUGAGGGAGGCGCCUUCAUCCCCGGGCCGAUGGCGCUGGCUGAGGAGGAGGCGGCGAAGCCCGCCAAGGCCGAGGCCACGCCGGCCAAAGCCGAGGCGAAGCCGUCUGUGCCUGCGGCGGCGGCUGGCGGCGCUGACUCGGACAAGCCCAAGAGCCCCUGGGUGCUGUACGUGAGCGCGCGCACCGCCAGCCUCAACCUGGCCAUGUCCAUUGUCGGUGAGUUGGCGGCCUGCUGCCAGGAAUCCAGGAACAAGGGGUUGCAGUGUGAGAUUGGCACGGAAAAGAGGGGCAGCCUGCUUGUCAAAGCCCUUCUGUACUUAUCACCCCCCGCCGUAUCACGGUCACCAGCUUCAUCCCCCUUCAUAAAUGUAACCCUCCCCCUUCCGUUCGCGCAGCCGAGACGUGCAAGCCCUGGGACCGGCUGUCUCCCGCCUGGUUGCGUGUGCCCUGCAAGCAGGACAUCCUGGCCACGGCCGGUCUGGCGGUGGCCAUGGCGCAGGCGCAGGUGCAGGAGCGCGCCGACGUGACGCUGCAGGUGCGGCAGAGGCGUGGCAGGGCGGGUGGCAGGGCGGGUGGAGAUGGAGGUGCAGAUGCAGGUGGAGGUGGAGGUGCACGUUGCUGGGGCCAAUGUGUGAAGGUGGCAGGCGCCGCACAAACGGUAUCCUGCACACCUAUUGACGUCUGCACACACGGAAGGCUCACGCGGUUUGACGCGCCCGACACGGCCCCCACCCCCGCAGGUUGUGCCUGUGCUGGAGCGCCGCCGCGAUGAGCGCGGCCGCCCUGGCAACUACCUCACCUGGCGCCUCAUCAAGGCCGGGCCAGGCGCCGAGCCCGGCGCCGCGGCUGCCGCCGCGGCGGCACGCGCCAGUAAGGGCGCCGCCCGCAAGUCCGGCGGCCGCGCCGCCAACUCCAACCGCAACGGCGCCGCCGCUGCCGGAGACAAGGACGUGCCCGUGGGUCCCUCGCCCGCCGCGAUGGCGGCGGCCGCCGCCGCCGCAGCCAAGGCGCUCGCGGAUAACGACAAGAUUGCCAAGGGCCGGCUCUGGUAAAUUGAUGCGGCGAUGAAUGUUGCUUGGCUGACGGGCUGCAGAGCCGUUAGUAUGGGUGAUCAGGCGGUGGCUGCGUUGUGUUGGUGUGGAAACGGGGGUUGAGCCAUUGAGCCCCCGGGAUUGGGUUGUGGGCUUCGGGGCUCAGAAGAAGACGUAGGCAACAGACAGUACAUUACAUAAGCGUCGGGAUGGCUUGCACUGGCAACUUGGAUGCAUGGGAGCAUGCUUGCAAGUUCCGGGUUUAGCCCUGAGAGAGACAAGAUAAGAUGGGUUACACCGUUACGAGUGGAGGCCGCCUAGCUGCCUCGUAAUUUUGCUGUAUCGACGCCGUAUGCAUGAAUUCUAUUGCUGCACUGGUGCGCGCACAGACAUCGGGCAUGAUGCAGUUUUGGUGGGUGGCGCUUAUAGAGCAGCAAAUACAGCAGGGUGACGUCAGGACAAAAAGCGUGGUAGGCGGCGGUGUGCGUACGGCACAUCUGCAAACUGCUGUCUGUUGAUGACUCGCACGAUUCAAAGCAUCGGCUUCCCAGGUUUUGACCGCGCAUGAACCUCGUAACAUUCAUGUGUAAGCCUGCGUGUCUGCCAUCGCCAUCGGCGCGUGCUAACUUGCAAGGGCAGGAUCGCACGUGUGGGCAAGUGCAAAUUCAUGCACGGACAGGCUAUCAAUCAGACAGUCACGGAAGGUCACGGUUGCUGUCACUUCCUGGGCAGCCAUGGUUUACCUAGCGGCUUCCCUAGCGUGCUUACAAGCCACGUACGAGGGCUGGUCACGCCGGGGCCACCACUAUCCCCAGCCCCUCCGGUUCGUGCCGCUUGAUACUGCACGUAAUGGGCGAGCACUCAGUAUUCAGCGCUAUAACUACUUAAUAAGCGCUUACACCUGCAACGCUCACGGACACCUUACACCCCGCGAGAAACUUGCAAAACAACAAAAUCAAACGCAUGGCGCCGAGCGCGGCGCUGGGCCAGCGCUUGGCGUCGGGGCGAGAAUGCUCAACAUCAUAUGCAAUUCAACACUCGACAUGUAGCGGGCCGCGUGCAAGCGGUCGACCAGUGAACAGUGUUGCAGUGCACAAACAAUGCCCACGCCGGCUCGUGUCGCGGUCUGCCGGCUCCGAUGCAGCUGCUAUAUAUCCCCCCGGUGACGAUGGGCCUGAACCAGCUGGGAGAGCAAGCGGGUCUGAGCCAUCGGGACCAACCAAAGAGGGCCUCACCGCAAACGCGCAAGGGCCAGGCGUGAACAAGGUGAGAUCCUGACUUGUAUCCUAUCCAUUUGUGCAUGCGGUCAAACUGCUGGUUCUGCAACACCGUGUGCGCUGGGUGCCGGAACGCUGACGGUCGCUGUUCCCCUACCUGACAGGGCGGACUACCCGACGUGCCUUGGGGUUUUGACAAAGUGUUCCAGGUGCGUAAACUUGUAUGAUUACGGUAUGAAGCCGCACGGGUGAUGAGCUGAACACCCGGGGGAAACAUCAAGAGCGCGCGCCAUUCGGGUGUAGGCCACAGCUGCGGCGGACAACCCCGCCGGCACCAAAGGCCUCUCAAGCUGUCUGUGGCGUUAAGACUUGAAGGGCACGGUCGUGUUGGUGGUGCAGGGCUCAGGCAUGCCAGCGUCCUGGGCUGGGCUAGCAUGUGGGGGGCUGGGGGCACGCAUGCAGCAAGCGGCCCUUGGUUGCGGCCUUGCGCCGUGCCACGACCCUCAGUGCUCUGCCUGCGCCUGUAGUUGUACUGCACUUGUGGAGCACCAACGCAAAGCAAAUUUCCCUACAAUCUGCCACCAUGAGCCAACGCCACCGCUACUCCUGUCCCGGCUCCCCUUCCUUCCCUGGCGCUCUUCUCACACCACUCUAGCCUCCAGCCAGUCCCAUGCAUCCACCUUGGUUUUACCCCCCUCCCUCUGCUCCUCCCCUCCCUCUGCGCUUUGCCCUCACAGGUCAUGGUGCUGUGGCUGCUGGCGUACGUCAUCAUCGGCCAGGUGGCGGUGCCGCUCGUGCUGAGCUGCCUGGGCGUUGACCGGCUCGAGUUGACCGUGCGCUCGCACGCAGUCCUGCACCUCUGCCUCGACAUCACGCAGCUGUUCGUGACGCUGGGCAUCCUGUGGUCCUGCCUGCGCGCCUACAAGCCGCGCUCGCGCGGCCUGUUCCCGGUCCGCUGGCGCGGGCUGUGGUGGGUGGCGGUGCUUCUGGGCUGCGCCACCUUCCCCUUCGUGGAUUGGCUGGCCCACCAGAGCAUGGGCUGGUUCCCCUCGGAGUGGGACGCUAACUGGGCCUCCAACCUGGAACACAGCCUCUCCAUUGGCGACUGGAUCACCAACGCCGCCUACUUUUCGGUGGUGUCGCUGUGCGCGCCCAUAUGGGAGGAGGCCAUCUUCCGCGGCUUCCUACUGACCUCGCUCGCGCGCUACAUGCCCACGCCCGGGGCGGUGGCGCUGUCCUCGGUGGUGUUCGCCAUGUGUCACUUCCGGCUGCAGACCUUCCUGCCGCUGCUUGUGUUGGGCGGCGUGUUCAGCGCCAUAUUCAUCCGCACGAACAACCUGCUGCCGCCCAUCCUGCUGCACAGCGCCUGGAACCUGUACGUGCUGGUUUCACUGGUGCUGCGGCCAGGGUAACGGCCGGAGCAGGAGGAGGAGGCGGCGAGAGCGGCGUCCAUUCCCGAAGCGUGGCACGUUGGCAGCUGCAUCAGCUGCAGCAGUGGCGAUGGGGCAUGACUCAAGCAUUCUGGGUGGCGCUGGAGCGUGGCACGUUGCUUGGGCGGAGGGAAGGCUGUGGAUUGGGGGCUGUGUACCGGCGGCAUGUGUGGCCAAGCGCGUGGGGGCGUGGGGAAGUGGGCCCAUAGAUGGUGGUGGUUGCAUUCACUAGCAAGCAUUCUGGUUGUGUCGUGGGGGCGUGGCGUGGCGGCGGCGGAGACAAGCAUUGCGCAGGGCUGGGGCAGGGGCCGUGCACCGGCCUGAAUGUCUGUUCAAGGGUGUCUGUUUGUAUGAACUUCUUGGUGGACUUGUUGAACCCUCGAAACGUGCCAGCGAGCGCUUGGUGGUGGUUGGGAUUACGCACGAGAGUCCGGUAGGUCACGUUUUUUGUGACUGUGCAGCAGUGACCACCCAUUUGCGCCUGCGUCUGCCUGACAUCACAGUACAGUGGCUGCGCGCUUCUGGUGUGAUGCGUAGGUGGAGGCAGGUGGACACUUGCAGGCUCUCCGCCUGCAUGUUGCUCAGUGAUGAUUGUGUUUAAAGUUGGAUGGCACGCAUUUCAUUUUGGUAGAUCUGGAUGUGGAAUUCAAGAGCCCGGCGUUACUUAUGAAUGCGGAUGUUACAGAGGGGACAGUCCCAGCACCCGUUCCUUAUGCCUUGUGAAGCACGGCGAAGCACGGGAGGACAGUGUAUUGGUAAGGGGUGCACUACGGACUGUACGACGGUGCCACAGGUGCUGUCCAUCGCCAGGCGUGACGCCUGUGACCCGUGGAGCGGGAUGAAAUGAAGCCGCAAACAGGAGCAGUGCAGGUUGCCCCCCACUUUGGGGAAUGAGGGCAAUGGUCCUAAUGGUCAUUCGUUACUCGUCAGCCCAGCACAGACAGGAACCCAGCAAUUGCUACGAGUCCAACAGCGCCACUCCAGGCCCACCGCAGGACGCGAGAGAAGCUAGUGCACUCUGAAAUUCUGCAGCAGUAACGCCCUUAUGUGUGGCCAUUUCGCUCUGUGAGGGAUCAGUGACGGGUGGCACGGACGGCGGCGUGCACUGGCGUGCCGCGCUGUCGCGCCUUCCAUGCUGAUAAACCCAGCCCCGACAUGCCCCCCCCCGAUAUUUCCGCAAGGCCCCGCAUCUAUAUCACCGUCAGCUUUAAGCCGGCGCUGUCACUGCAAGGAGCUGACACUGCACGUGCGGGCGCACCGCGAGGGGAGCUGACCUGGCACCAGCGCGAUAAACGUUUCUCCAGGUUGUCCAUGAAGCACGUAUGAUGCUCGAUACUAGUCAUUUUCGAUGUGGGUCAGGCGAGAGGCUGCCAGUUUGGUGAAGGCCAUCUGCAAAAACGUUCCCACCACUGGAACGCCCCACGCUCUGGCUUGUCGUUAUCAAAAUAACAUAGCAUGUUGCUUUAUAGUUUCAGAUGCAUGGGUUGUGACCGUCUGCGGGCCACGAUGACCUCAUCUUAGCUUGCUCGUUUUCUCUGCGCCCUUACGCCCCGGUAUACUUAGACCUGCUCUGUCAUACAGUCACAGGUACUGCCUUACAGCAUACGACCCAACCACCUACAACGUUGCUGACCACUCGCGCGCUGUGGAGCGGACACAACUUGCACACUCGUCCUUCUACGCUAUCAUGCGUGCAAACCGAUAAGCAUAUCAUCAAAAGCUAUUAUUUUCCGUACCGAAAUGGCAGGCUGUCCGCUGUUGAACAAGCAAGGGCAUGCAGUCCUCCAUUCACGUAGAGCCGGCCUGCGGAGAGCUUCCGUCGUCCUGCGCGCUCCAUCUAUAGUGCGAUGCGCGAAGCCUGGGCCAACAGCGGACCCUGUGCAGACGGAGCAGCAGCACACGCCUGCACAGCCAGUGGCUUCAACCUCGGGGAGCCAGCGGCAAGCGGAGCAGGAGCGCGAGCUGCAGUACAUUAGUACCACUUUACCACGGACAGAGCAGCGGUACGAGGCAUUGGCAGCAUGGGUGGGCGCGGCCGUGGCAUUCGGCUGCGGCAUUUGGUAUGUCCAGGGCGCCGAAAAGGCCCAGGAAUACUUCGCGGGCUACCUGCUGGAGCAGUCAUUAUCCGUCGACAAUCUGUUCGUCUUCGUCCUGGUGUUUGGGUAUUUGAAGACCCCGCCGGAGGCACAGAGCAAGGUGCUCACCUGGGGCAUCGCCACCGCGGCGGUCCUGCGCGCCGUGCUCAUCGUGUUGGGCGUGGAGCUGGUGCGCGAGUUCGAGCCGCUGCUUCUCUUUUUCGCCGCCAUCCUGCUCUUCUCGUCGUUCAAGCUGCUGACAGCGUCGGAGGCCGACGACGACGCUGACCUGUCGGACAACCCCAUCUACAAGUUCUGCGCGCGCUUCAUCAAGGUCACCGACAAAUACGACGGCACCAACUUCUUCACCACCGUCAACGGCAACCGUGUCGCGACGCCGCUGCUGCUCACGCUCGCGGUGGUGGAGCUGAGCGAUGUGGUCUUCGCUGUGGAUUCCAUCCCCGCCGUCUUUGGUGUCACGCUCGACCCCUUCAUCGUCUACACCUCCAACGUGUUCGCGAUCCUCAGCCUCCGAGCGCUCUACACUUUUGUCGCGACUGCCAUGGGCGAACUGCGCUUCCUGGACAAGGCGGUGGCGGUGGUGCUUGGGUUCAUCGGCUCCAAGAUGGUCCUGUCGUUCGCGGAUGUUAUAAUCCCCACCGACGUUUCGCUACUGGUGGUGGGCCUGGUGCUGGGCGCAGGCGUGGGCGCCAGCCUAGCGCUACCGGAGAGCAAGGACGACUAAACGGCGGCGGCCUGGCGGAGCGGCCUGGCGGAGCGGCUGUAGCAGCCGGCGGAGGCAGUAGCAGCGGUGGCGGUGUGGCGGCGGCAGCAGAACGGCGGCAGAGGCAAUGGCGGCAUGCAACCGUGGUUGGCGGCAUGGCAGCGGAACCAGCAGCGCUUGGUUGUGCGUGGAUGUGUAGGCGGCGCAGCCCGGUGGCAGUUUAGUAGCGGCGUGCCCACGCCAUUGUCCCCUCGGUGUAGCGUGGCGUGGCACCAGCCACGCAUUCUGCUGGCGUGUCGUGUGGCUAGGGUUCCGGUCCGGUGGUGUGUGCCGCAGGGCCAAUGUGCCCCUCGUCUGGGCCGCCAUGUCCCAUGCCGGAGACGUCCUGCCUGCAUGAUUGCUGCAUCUGCAUGGACUGAAGCUGACCUUCGCACCAGACCGGCAUGGUCGGUGCCCACGCAUAUAGCACAGCUGCAUGCGCAAGCCUCAUGGCGGCGGCAUUGUUACCUCGCGAUGCGAUGCCGUUUGCAAAUUGCCGCAUCUGUACGGACUGGGAGUGAAGCGAAUGUUACAGUGACAUUGCUGCGUGGUGGGUGAGUGUUCCAGCGCGUGUUAGUGCGUGUGACAAAGCAGACGUCGGCCGGCCAUGUGGCCUGUGACUCGUAGUGACAAGAACGGCGCAAGUGUUACGUACCAUUUAUUGCCUGUUUCGAGGGCCGAGCCGCAGUGCGGUGAGGUGUGUGUGGAGGCCAGGUGGUGCGUCCGGCCGGAAGUGCUGAUGACGUGUGCUUGCUGUUAACAUGGUCGAGGCCCAUUGAGUGGUGCCUGACUCAUGUUGUUGAUGAGUUGCGGCUGUGUCGCAAGGGGCGCCGCAGGGACGUCCGCCGGGGCGCCGCCAGCUUACUAGUGAGCGAGUAGGGCCGAGCAUGGAGUCUGCCGGGGCCAAGGGGCAGGUGCAGGGCCCACAAUGCGGCGGGGCUGCGGCCAUAGAGGAGGUUGCAUUGUUUUCGUGGAGCGUGGAUAAGGAGAAAUGGGCGCGAGGCUUUCAGCAUCUGCGGGUUUGGAAGUGUUUGUUUGUUGUUUGUAUGGUGCAGCCUGAGUAAGAGAGGACAGGAGGCGCAGCAGCUUAUAGGCCCGUGUUUUGUGCAGAAGCAAGACGGGCGUUUCGAGAGAAAGAGAGACUCAACGCAGUGAUGUGGGGAUACCGCGGAGUUUGCAUGAAUGGGACGUGGCGGUGUGCGGGUGUUUGGGUAUGGGCGGACAAGCAGCACGCGAACCCAACUUCGAGCGGGGGCUGAUGGGCGUCAGUCCACGGCUGCAGCCCUCCGAAGGGACGCUGGGGCACUGCAGUGCGCGGCAGUGUGCAGCCGCGCACACGCUUUGGCCGUGCGAGUGUAUUUGUGUGCAAGCGCAUCGCGAGGUGGCGAGAGAUUGAGAGACUCAGAUAGCGCGCUGUAGGUGCAGAGGCAGUACGCAGCUGCAGACUGGCAGCUCCUGUAAGGCGGCGAUUACGUUUCAGAAAGGGGAGGCCCGGCGCCGUGGCGGGAAUUGGUGCGGCGGAUGGAAAGAUGGACGACAGCAACAGCACGGGGGAAACAGUCACGCCUUGAAACGGCCAGCAAGCACACACGCAGGAUACCGUAAACAGCGUAGUACAACGCGGAGCGCUGUGGCCAGCACUUGUAGUCCUGCACACACCAUGGUGUCCGUCCGCCACUACAUUACCCGAAGCCACCGCCCGCGAGCACCCUACGGUGCACAGCGUGCAUCCCGCGCGUCACUUCGCGUCUGCCGGCCAGCCCUACCACCGGCCCCUGCCACAGACACCAGUCGCACGCAGGCAGGCUCCGCCCCUCUCACGGCUUCAUGACCCAUGACCGCAGUCAUGCUAGGCUGUCCCCUGUUUGCGAACCGAGCAGCAAGACAAGUGUUCCCCGGUCACGGGAAAAGGGGCUGAGCCCCUCCACAGGGAAUAGCAAGUAAUAUUACGUAGCGCUCGCGGUUUGUGCCAGUUUGGCACUUUUUGUCAACGCAGGCAGGCAGGCAGGCAGGCACGGACAGGGGCAAUCCUGGGGGGCUUCGCCCCCCCUGGAUCGCUUCGCUCGGGGGGCUCAGCAAGAAAACUUGAGCACCAGUUUAACCAGUCGUCCAUACUGAAGGACCCAUCCACUCAAUUCCCUGGCCAAGGCUGUCCCCGUCUUUGCGAAGUCGCAUGCAAACACCAAAGCACAGUUCACCGAUCAUUCAUUGUCUAUAGCUUCCCUGCCCUGUCUCCUGCCCCUACCCCUGCCCCUCCUCUGCACCUGCGCCCGCAUCCAUUUCCGCAUGGUGGUUCACCACAGCAAACACGCCCGCCAGGUGCGCCUCAUACACCAAACACCCGCCGUCCCCCGCCCCCGCCCCCGCCCCCGCCCCCGCCCCCGCCCCCGCCCCCGCCCCUGCACCCUCCCCAGCCCCCGUUCCCCCACCCCCGCCACAGCUGCUGCCGCCCGCAUCGCCCCCGGCCGCCACCGGCCCCUGCCCCGGCCCCGCGACGUCAUCCUGCAGCCACACGAUCCGCGGCAGCGCCGGCGGCGGCGCGCCGUACUCGAGCCGGAUGACGCCCGCAAAGUCCCGCACGAAGUCGCACAUGCGCUCGCCCAUCAUUGUGCCGUACGCCGCGGCAUCUGGAUCCUGAUCUUCCGCCAUGGCCAGCACGUGAUCCAGCCGCAAGCCCCCCUCAGCCGCCGCGGCGUCCGCGUGCGGCCCCGGCGGCGGCGGCGGCGCGUGGCCUGCGCGACGGGGGUUGCAUCAAGGGGCAGAUAGGGUCGUUGCACACGCUGCGGCCCUGCACACCCUGUGGGUAAGACAGCGCCUGCCCGUUGAAUGCCCCAGGCCCUGCACACACCCCCUGGCUCCGCACACAGCUCGCAGCCAGCGCGAUUCCAUGACGGCAUGCGUGCAAGCCCCCAGGUUCCCCCCAGGUACCAAGUGCGUCUCUCUCCCUCACUCCCUCGCUGCCCCCUGCCGCUCUCUCGCGCUCACCCAGCACCGGCUCCAGCGCUCCGUCCGUGAGCCGCGCUUUCAGUGUGGCGGUGCCGUCGUCCACCAGCGCCACGUCCACAUCCACCUGGUGGCGUGGUGGUGGUGUGGGCGUGGUGGUGGUGUGGGCGUGGCGGUGGUCGGGCCGGAGUGGUUAUGGUGGCAGUGGUGAUGGUGGUGGCGGUGGUGGGUGUGGCGGUGGGAAGACACGGAGAGGAAUUGGCGGCGGUAUACCGUGUUCCCAGAUCCCAGGAGGGCCAGUCCGACAGGCCAAUAGACAGGGACAGGGACAGGGCAUCCGGGUACGGUCAGGCGAUGCGCAGUACCCAGCAAGCGCCCGCAGCCCGCCCGGACGCGCCCGCGCGCCCGCACCCCACCUCCUGGAUAACGGCGUAGCUGUCCACACGCAGCGGGUAGGGCAGCUCGGGGUCAGACAGCAAGUCGGGCAGCUGCAGGAGGGGCAGGAGGUGGGGUGGGGGCAGGGGGUGGGGGCAGGGGGUGGGGGGAGGGUCAGAAGCAUGCGGGGUUUGUGAGAGGACGCGGUGUGGGGCGGUACGGAGGCCGCACAGACAAAGAUGCGGCCCACGGCGUGAUGGGGCACAGCACCCACACAGCAUCCAUGCCGCCUCCACAGCGACCCCAUGACACCCCCACAGCGCCCCCACGACAUCCCUCCCUGGCCCCAGUGUCUCCAGCAGUACCGUGCGCCGCGCCACCCCGCACCUGACACAGCAGUACGGCGCCAGCGUAGUGGUCGUCCACACCGCCCUCGUCACCACCGCCGCCAUCACCCAGCACGGCAUCCGCCGCUGCCGCCGCCGCGUCCACAUCGGCGGCCACCACAGCAGCAGUCCCAGGCGCGCCGGCCGCGCCACCAGCUGCGCCGCUGCUAGCCCCCUGGCCGGCGCCAGCACACGCCGCGUGGUGCUGCUGGCGCUGGUCGCGCGGGUGGUGAUGCUCGCGGUGCUGCUGCUGGCCAUUAAGGUCCCGGUCUCGGUCCCGGCCUUGCUCCCGGUCCUGCAACGCGAGUGCCGCCAGGGCCAAGCCGUCCUCGCCCAGGCCCCCCUGGAGCUGGCCCCACAGCCCUGGCUGCUGCCCACCCGGCGGCCCCGCACCCGCCAGCUCCCCUUCAUCUUGUUGCUGCGGCUGCGGCUGCGGCUGCCGCUGCAGCUGCUGCUGCGCGCUCCGCGCGUGCCCCACGAACCCGAACUCCUCACCGCCAUCUUCCCCGGCCUCGCCCUCGCCCUCGUCACCGCCACCGCCGUACCAGACGCCGCCUUCACCCUCAAACGCCAUGCCCUCCGCCUCCUCGGGCGCCUCGGCGUCACCCGGCUCUGGGCCGCCGGGAUCUGCGCGCCCGUCGCCUCCUUGAUCUGGAUCUGCUAAAUCCGGAUCGCACCCAGCUGCGUCCUCAGGUUCUGGUUCCUGAUCCAUUUGGGUCUCCGGCACAACGUCCACUGGCAGGCUUUGGGCGUGCGGCUGCGCACGGGACUGACCUUGCAGCGGCGACAGCCUCUGCCGCUUCUCGUCUCCUCCGGGAGGGUCCAGUGGUAAGGACAGCCUGGUUUUCACGCCCUGCUGCUGCUGUUGGUGCUGUUGGUGCUGUUGGUGUCGCGCCAGCGGCACGGCUGCAUGCACCGGCCCCUGCGCCGCCGACCCUGCUGCUACGGAUCUCAGAGCCGGCGCCGGCCCCCCGCUCCUUGUCGGCGGCGUGAAGUCUCCUCCUGGCUCCCAGAUCUCUGGCUCCUGCUGCUGCUCCUCGGGCUCCUGCUCCUCGUGCCCAUGCUGCUGCUGCUGCUGGUGGUGGUCGCCAGCACUUCUGCUGAACCCAGCCCCUGCCUCCACCUCCUCCACCACCUCCUCCUCCUCGUCGUCGUCGUCAAGCGAUGCAAGGUCCACCAUAUCUACCUCACCAGCCGGCCCCGUCUGCAGCAGCUGCUGCGACUGCGGUUCCCGUUUCACGCCUGCACCGCCACCUGCGCUGCCGCCUGCGCCACCCCACCCCAACGGCGCGGCCCCUGGCGCCGGCCCUGCACGCGGCCCUGCCGCCGGCUCCAGGGGACUGCUGCGAGCUAGCAUCAGCGGCACCCUUCGCGCGGCCCCGUCAGACAUGGCAGGGGCGCCAACGACGCAGCGCCCGCCACCAUUGCCUCCGGCAGCAGAGGCCGCCAGACCCCCUCCCCCGCCACCAUGGGCCCCUGCUCCGUCCCUGGUCGUGCCGCGCGGACCGGGCGGCAACAGGCCACAAGAUGAUAUACCAGCGGCCGCCACCGCCGCCGCUGUAAUGCUAGCGCCCUGCGCUUGCGGCGGCGGUGGCCCUUGUGCGGCAGCCGCUGCACCGACACCGAGGCCGACGCCUAAGCCCAAGCCCAAGCCGGCGGUCCUACGCAACGAGCCGCCCAGCAGGCUGGAAGCGGGAGUGGUGAUGGUGUGGACGCCUGCUGCCGCCAACCCUGCUGGGGCCAGCCCUAUCGACGCUAACCCUGCUGCCUGCAAUCGCUGCGGCUGUCUAUUCUGUGGCUGCUCCUGAUGCUGCACGUAUUGCUGCUGCUGCUGUUGUUGCCGGCCCUGCAAGGCUGCGGACUGAGGUCCUGCCGGCGUAGGCUCCAACCCUCCCCGCUCCUCCUGCUCCUCCUCCGCCCCGGCCGAACUGCCAUCUGAGCCGCCCGAGUCGCUGCUUGUGAUUACCACCACUGGUGGCGACCGGGCCACCCGCCCACUGCCCCCAGCACCUGCACCACUACCCGCACCAGCGCCAGCAACGGCACCAGCACCACCGCCACGGCCACCCGGCCCCGCGCUUGGCCCUGCACGGGCGCCGGUGUCAGCGUGCCCGUUGCCCACCGCCGCACCCGCUUGCGCGCCCACGGCUGACGCACCCCAGUUGGAGCCGCUGACCGGUGCCGGUUGCGGCCCGCCAGCAGGCGGACCCCCGCCGGGCGGAGGCCCGAGGCCGGCGGCGCCGCCGACUCGUGGCUGCGUGGGGUACUGCUGCGGGUGCUGCUGCGGGUGCUGCUGCGGGUGCUGCUGCGGGUGCUGCGUGGGGUACUGCUGCGGGUGCUGGUGUGGGUGCAGUGCCGCCGCCUGGUGCAGAGGCGGGUGUUGGGGCUGCUGCUGGGGUGGUCCCUGUGGGCCAGCUUGCCAGCCGUGUCCGUGAAGCUGCUGCUGCUGCUGCUGUUGCUGUUGCUGUUGCUGUUGCUGUUGCUGUUGCUGUUGCUGCUGCUGCUGGUUUGCCCCCUGUGGCGGGUAUGCAGGGGCCUGCUGCCUCGGCGCACCCAUCACCGGCCCAGCGGGCGCCGCUGCAGCCGGCCCGCCGGCCACAGGCGCCCACGGCAGCACCCCGAUCCCCAGCCCCGCCCCUGCUGGCGCCCCUGCCCCCACCGUCCCGCGCGGCUGUGGCUGCUGUUGCUGCGGAGGACCGCCCCCGCCGCCGCUGCCGGCAGCUACAGCCGCUGUAGCCGGCAGUGUGGGCGCCCCGCCGGGCGCCCAGGCCGCCUGCCGGGCCUCCCCGAAUAUGUCCCGGGGCCCCGAGCCGGCCGGCCGCCCCACUGCGCCACACGGCACGUGUUUACAUGGUCACAGGCGCAGAGUCACAACACAAGAUGGCGGCAUAAAGCAGAGGAUCAAUGACCACACAUACGUUAUCACAUGCAGCGACGAGGCGGUGAGGCAGGCUGGCGCCACAGCCGACGGCACAUCGGGCACCUAUCCACAUCGGCCCACCUCCCGCACUUCCCACGCCACCAGCCUUCUCCCCCUGCCCCAAUCCCCUGCCCGCGCUCACCCCCACUCACCCACGGGCUUGUUCCACGCCGCCACCGCCCGCUGCCGCGCCACCUCCAGCCGCUCCACCUGUGAGGCAGCGCACGCGUACGCGGUAACACACGUGGCACAUGUGUGUGUGUGCACGUGUGUGCGUAUGUCAAUGCACGGUUGUCCCGGAAGCUGGUCAUGCCCUGUCUCUACCUCAUCCUAUGCCUAUCCCCUUCCCCCUCCCACCUGUCCUCCCAGCAGCGCUGUGUUGUCGGGGCCCAGCAGCAGCAGCCCGCGCCGCACCGGCACAUUGUGAACCACCACCUGGGAGGUGGGGGGCGGCGCGUGUGCGAGUGGGCAUGUGCAAUGUUGAGUAAAGGUGGGUUGGGUGCUGUGUGGGCAGGCACGGGCCCCUGACCCUGUCCCUGUCAGGUGCUGAGAAACACUGCCUCCAACACCCGUCCCCUGAUCCCCUAACCCCGCCUUCCAGGUGUGCGGCCCCCGCGCCCCAACCCCCCGGCCCGCCGCCCCGCCGCACCUUGCUGCCUGCGGGGCAGUCCCAGGUGAUAGCGGGAAGGUGCGCGUGCUCCACACCCACCACCUGCUGACAGCCUGAGGGAGGGGCGGGCGGACGUGUGGAUUAAACCGUGCGUGUGUGUGUGUGUGUGUGUGUGUGUUUGUUAAUCUCAAAAUGAAAGCCCGCCAUGUGUGUACUGUGUAUGUGUGUCAAGGAGCACAAGGAAAUCUAAGCGUGUGUGUGCGAAGCCAUGUGUCAGGCGGGGUUGCUGGCUCAGGGCGGGUGUAGGCGCUGUAUGAGGGACUGCCGGGCUCUGGCGGGUUCCGGGGGCGAUGCGCCGAAACCGGUAAGCGGGCUUCACCGUCGCUGUGCCGCACAUACCGUAGUAUCUGUGUAAUGCACAACAGCGUAAGCGGCUGCGACACGCGGCCCUCACCAUCUGUAAGCGCCAGCUUGAGGCUGCGGUUCCCCGCCUGGGGCGUGUAUCUGCACAGCGUGCCACGUGGACAGGCAAAACUCACACCCAGGGUCCAGAUUCAAUGCGCCACUGCUCCCGGCCUCUUGCAGUGGCCACGGCGCCAUGUGUGUUCCGUACUCAGUAGCAGGCUAUGUCCCCUGGCAUGACUUCCACACACAACGUGAGUGGUGUUUUGCGCAGCUAUCAAAUCCCGCUUUCCGGCCGGCCUCACCGCUCGCGGGCUGCUGCCGCCAUGUUCACCACUUCGUCUAGCUGCAGCACAAACCGCCCGUUAAGCACUUCCUUGUGCAACUCCUGCGAUUGGUUGUGAAGCAAAGGCUUGCCUAAGCGAUCGGUAUGGCAGAUAGGCUUUUGCAGAAGGUCAGCCAUGGCUGGGCUGCGCUAAGUGACAAGGCUUUAUGUUGCGGGCGGUAAGUAGACCGGCGGAAGCGUGGCGUGCCUUGGUGUUUGGAGGCAGGGCUGGCUCGCCAGCUUGGUUUAAGUCGCAGAAGAGGAAGGCCGUGAAUAUCUUCUCAACCACUUGUGCUUCCGGCCAAGUUGCCAGGUCUGGGUGCGCCGCGCGGAGCUGUUCCAGCACGCGGUCGAGCCACUCCGGCCGAACAGAGAUUGCAUACUGCUCCCGCAGUUUGCGGCCCCAGUCCAUGAGUAUAGUCGCAAGCGCUACUAUCGCACUGACUCAGCAUUAAUGCUUUCUUGGCGUCAAGGCGUGAGGCUUCGCGCGAAUUUCCAUUUACGUUUUGUGGCCGAGUGCAUUCUUGCAGGUGAAUUGUCACCGUACUUGAUAUAUUGCUCGCAGCAGUGUUACAAGGCAUGAACCCUCAUUCUGGUUUGCGCAAGAGUGGAUCGCAUCUGUCGUCUGUCGAUCGCGAACAUCAUGAGGGCGCACCACUUCCAAACAAAUGGCUCGUGCUCGAUGCAUACAGUAUAAUGAUACAGAAAGAGAUACAGAAGUCAACCAUUUUCACGGGUGCCACACAGCCAUGACGAAAUGGAACCGCGACACCCAACUUGUACGCCACCGCCUCGCGGCGAGGCUCUCGCCGUCAUGUACGCCACAACCACGCAAACCUUCUCUACUUAUGCCACGAGGCUUCAUGGCCCCCUCCUGCAAGGGGCUCGGCGGGGACCGCCCGUUGCCCUUGACGCUGACCACGACGCACGCACGCCCCCUCCACACCACCUCAUGUCAGACGCUUAUCGGUGGUUACCCAUCAGCCCUAGAAGCCUAGAACCGGUGGUUAGAUACCCGCCACACCCUUGCUGCUGGAGUUGUAGGCCGAUGGCGGCCGUGGCAGCACCAGCUGGGGUCGUGGCAGCGGAGCAGACUUGGUGGCGCUGCCUGCCGCAGCGGCCGUGGCGACCGCGACGCCGCCGCCACCGCCGCCACCGCCCAAGCCUGCCGUCGCCACGGGCGGCAGCGCCGGCCAGCGCGACUCAUAGCGAGCCAGGGCCCCGUCCGUAAGCUGUCGCCGCAACGGCGGAUGAGUUGCUACUGGUGCCUGCGGCGGCUGCGGCCUCGGCUGCGGCUGUGGCAGCCGGCCCGAGGCCUCCACCAGCGGGCUCUGUGUCGAGGCGCCACCCGCCCGCUGCUCCGCCGCCGCACCCGCCGCAUCCGCCGCCGCGACCUCCAGUCGCAGCUGCACCAGCGCCGCCAUGAGCCGCGCGUCACAGGAGCGGCGCGAGCUGCGGCUGCCGGCACGCAGCCGGCUGACGGGGCUGACGGCGCGGGCGGGAUCCACUGGCUCGACCCGCUCCACCUCGGCCGCCACAGCCUGCUCGCCCGCCUCUGGCUCCGCCUCUGUUGCUGCCUCAUGUUCAUCGGCCUCGUCGGCCUCCGACUCGGUGUCCGCGUCGCCCGCCUCUUCAUCUUCAGACAGCGUGUACAGGGCCGCGCCUGCUGGCACUUCCGCGGCUCCCUCCUCCUCCACCCUCACGCGCUCCUCCUCUUCCUCCGCCUCUUCCUCGUCUGAAGCCCACUCGCCAUACCCCGCUUCAGCCACGCCGGCGGCAGAGGUGGGUGUGCCCGCGGGCGCGUCCGGCGUCGCCACACGAGCCAGCACGGGCCCGCGGCGCAGCAGCCACACGCCGGCAGGGGCCGCGUUGGCAUCAAUCGCCUCCGCCGCCGCGUCCACAACAUCGUACCGCUCACACGGCUGAGCGGCAGCGCCGGCGCCGCCAUCGUGGUCGUACUGCUCGUCCCAAGCCUCCUCAUCGUCCGACAGAUCGUACGUGUCGUACCAUGCAUCGUACGGGAUCACGCUGUCGGCCGCCGCCAUCGAGAACGGCGCGGCGCCAAUGCCGCCGCCGGUGGCGGCGCUGGCGGCGGAGGGCGUGUUGGCGGGCGCCAGGGAGAAGGAGCCGCCGAGGGAGGCGCCGCCUAGAGAGCUGCGCCAGCGGGGUGUCAGGGCCGCCACCGCCGCCACUCGGGGCGAGUUGGCAGCGGCGCUGCCACAGGCGGCAGCAACGCGGGCGCUGGUGCCGCCAGAUGCAGACGAGGCUGGGGAGUCGGGGCCGGCGCCGGGCAUGACGCCGCAGUGGCUGUCAGGGGUAGGCUCACGGCAGCGGUAACGGCGGGGGCUGGCGGCGGCGCCGCCGGAGGCGUCGGGGCCAGUGGCUGCGGCGGCGCCGUCGGCGCUGCAGGGCUCGCUGACGGUGCUGGCGCCGCCAACACUGUCGCGCCGGCCGCCGACGCUGAGGAAGACGGCUGACCAGGGCAGCUCGCCAACGGUGGCGGCGGCAGCGGCGCCGCUGCCCUCGUCGUGCUGCUCCGACGGAGUGGGUGCCGCCGGGUCAAAGCCGCCGCCGCCCAGCUCCUGUUGGUCUUGCAGGCUGCGCAGCUCGCGAAGGUUGGCCACGGGCGCCAGUGAGCCCGCGGACCGCCGGCGGGCGCGCGGACUGUUGGCACUGCGCGGACUACGUGGGCUGCAUGGACUGUUGCGAGGGCUUGACGGCGUCUGUGCAUCACCAGCGGCGGAAGCGGCGGCGGCGGCGGCGUGUGCGGCGGCGGCGGCCUUGAUGGCGUCUACGGCGGCGGCGGUGGCGGGUGAUUUGUAGAUGGAUUUGGCCCUGCGGUUGGCGACGGCGCGGUUGGCGGCGGCCUUGCGUACCAGCAGCAUGGUCAGCGGCGGCGCCGCGCCGGCAGUAAAGCUGACGCUGCCAUUGGUGCCGGACGGGCGCGACGGCGGCAGCAGCGGCGACAGUGGGGAGGAGGGGGAAGAAGGCGGUGGCGGCGCGCCGCCGCAUGAGGAGCGGGGGGAGGGUGCCCAGUGGGCGGGCAGCGGGGCGCCGGCGGUGCUAGCGGGCGAGGUGGGGGCGGAGGCGAGGGCGCUGCCGCCGGCGAGCGCGGCCGAGGCAGGCGAGGGCGGCGGGUUGGUGCCGUCGAUGCUGGCGCCGCCCAGGGAGGUUUCCUUCAGCCGUCGGAAGCGACUGAAAUUUCGCGGGGGGCCUGACAAAAUGGCGCUGGGCUGGCUGAGUGGCGAGAAGGGACCGGCGUCAUCGUCCAUGGACCGCGGGGAUGCGUCGCCUUGGGUCGUGUCCGUCAGCGGCGACGGGGGCGCGAGCGGCGACAUCAGCGCGGCCUUACGUGUGCUUGGCUCGUCUGGUUUUGAAGGCUUGCAGUUGAGGGCGGGCAAUGCCGGCAUCUGUGAAUCAGAUGAGACGCGGGCGCGAAUGGUGUCGCCUUGACGGAUUGCAAAACAGACGUGCAUACCCUGGAACCAUUCAUAUUUACAUCGUUAGUCAAGUACUAACCUUGGUGGUCGGCGUUCCAACAGUCUGUUGAGUCGAGCGGCGGUCACCGACGGUUGACACGACUGGCCCCGACCCUGGCGACGCGGCCGGUCGCUCGACGCUGCUUGUGCAUUGACCCUGAGAGAAGUCGAUGCAUUUUACGGCCAGUACACAGGUUAUCGAGCCGAACAUAUGUUUGCAACAACGUAAGGGCAGCGGCAUCCUUACCAUCUUCACGAAUCGUCGCGCCGAGUCAAUCGCCCGUUGAGCACUUAGUCACAACUAUGGCGCAGAAAGCUUAUAGUGUGUGUUCAUUCAUAGCACUGCCCGCCAACCUUAUGUAGGAGUGCAUAAAGCCCAUCCGCCAUCGCCCAUCUGUCAGUCUUUUGAGUCCGAUCGCCACGAACACGCUGUUGGGCCGAACUCCAGCCCCUUUACCACUUCCUUCCCCAAAUACUGCACUUACUCUGUAACACAAUAACUCAUGCAAACCAGCAGAGCAAAGCUACAGCCCUCCGACCAGCACUGGGGCUGGGAGCGCACACGUGGUCAUGUCACCUGUAGCGUGCGCCCAUGAGCCCAUAGACGCUGCCAUGUUCCCUCCACGAACUUCCCACCUGCACAGCAACAUGUAUCUUACAGCUACUCCUGCCCACCGUAAUUGAACUCUGAGUGCUUUGGCCACGUGUGGCCCUUGCCACUCAGCAUCGCUCCCCUGCGAUGCCGACCUCCACGACAGCCGCCCCCACAGCGCUAUGCCCUCGCGGCUGCGCCGCAACGGAGCGCCUUGCGUGCUGCCUCAAGCUCCACCCUUGCCUCCUCAACCCGGGCCCUCCGCCCUGGCGCCGCCGUGCCUACCGCUAUGCCCCCUUCCAAAACCGCCAGCCUCCACUCGGCCGCCGCCAGCCGCUGCCGCUGCAGCCACGCCAAGUUAUGCGGCAGCAGGUGUAUGGUGCCACUGCCGUCGUCCUCCAUUAUAACGCGCCUCAUCACCCCGAUGAGCUCAGCCCAAUACUUGAUGUACACACUGCCCGUGACCUAACCGACUACCCUUGAGUACGAACCUUUGAGCUGCUGUGCCGACAGACAUGCAGCUGCUAUGACCGUGACCCCAUGACGUCCCGCAUGUCCGCCCUGGCCGCCGAGAUUGGCCCAAAUGCGUCAAACGCGACUGCACAACCAUUCAAGUUCCAGACCAACCAGCCCCAGGUGGCUUGCGUCUCGCUGUCCGGUAACGCCGCCAAUCCGUUUGAUGAUGCCAGUGGACACCGCUUCAUCCUGGUCUACUCGCUGGGCCGUGUGAGGCUGCUGCAGGCGUUCCAGGGCUUGUCCACGAUGCGGGAGUUUGAGAAGAAGAGCGGCGCGCGAUUCACCUGGGUGGGCGAGGUGGCAUUCAGGGCGUGGUGGGGCCAGCUCUGCGACCGUGCCUCGGGAUCCAGGUCGGCCUCGUGGGUCGACCUGAUCGGAGUGCCCUUCGCGGACCGCGCUAGCGAGUCGGCCUACGUGGCGGCCCCUAUGAUGCUGUGAGUGUGGCGGCGGAAGGGGACGUAUGGGAAUACACGGGGUCUGAAUGAAAGCCGAUGGUCUCCAUUUUUGGGCUGAGCCCCCUGAGCGAAGCGAUCCAGGGGGGGCGAAGCCCCCCAGGAUUGCCCCUGUCCGUGCCUGCCUGCCUGUGUCGACAAAAAGUACCAUACUGGCACAAACCGCGAGCGCCACGUAUUAUUAAUUGCUAUUCCCUAUUGUAGAAAAAUAGGCGGCAGGGAAAACUCGGCCGGAGCGAGAAGCGACCUCGCGAGUCCAUGGACAUCUUGACUUUCUUCAGUCCGCGAGUAUAGCUCUCGGGCCCUGAAUAUCUUACAUCCAUGUAUCAAAAUAUGUCGACGACAAGCGUCUUGGGGCAAGAAUGUCGAAAGUUUGUGCAACAGCCGAACCAUGCGUGCCGAUCCCGCCUUAAUUAUGUCGCGGCCCCGGAUCACGCGCCCGAGCUCCACUAGCCGUUUGUGGUCCUUGUGAGGGAUUUGGAAUGAGGUAUCACGGGCUCAUGUGUGGAGUGGCGUGGACAGGGCGUGGCGGUGCCUUUGGUAUGCCCCUUUGCCAGUCCCGCUGGGCUUGCAAGGGUGCUGUUUAUGUCGCCGGUACCCAUCGUCACAUCCCUUGCUCUAGGGGCUCAGCCCAUUUUCCAGCUGUACAAAGCUGACACCCCUUGUUCAUGGGACUGGUGCUUUUCGUUGCAGGAACCCUGGCCAUUUGUUCGUUCCCAUACGUUUUUGGGCUGAGCCCCCUGAGCGAAGCGAUCCAGGGGGGGCGAAGCCCCCCAGGAUUGCCCCUGUCCGUGCCUGCCUGCCUGCCUGCGUUGACAAAAAGUGCCAAACUGGUGCAAACCGCGAGCGCCACGUAUUAUAAAUUGCUAUUCCCUAUUGUAGAAAAAUAGGCGGCAGGGAAAACUCGGCUGGAGCGAGAAGCGACCUCGCGAGUCCAUGGACAUCUUGACUUUCGCGAGGUCGCGAGGUCGCAAGGAAAGCAGCCCUGUCACGCGGAUUCCAAAAAGGAAGAGUUGCCAACUUCAAUAUAACAGCACCGAGUGCAAGACGAUGCGGUGUGAUUGUGUGGGUGUGUUACAUGGGCCCCGACUCCCCGUGCCGUGCCGGGAAAUGGGGCUGGAGUACUAGAAAGUGCAUGGCGCUGCAUGAGGUGCAACUCAGAAGGAGGUUGCGCAAUGGUGUACGUGGUCUGUAAUUCGGCCAGCAGGACAUGUGCGCCCCCUGUCUCCCGGCGGAUUUAGCAAAUUAUGGUGGGCACGAAGUCAUCAGGUCAUGUUUAGGGAAAGGAUGUGCGCAAACAAAAGCCGACAGCGUUAAUUGCUGUCAUGUUAAAUGCAUGUAGCCGGGUCGUUAUCGCGAGAGAGGUGGCCGCAUUGGUUUGGAGCCUCUUCGACUUCCUGUCAAAUCUGGCAUUGUUCAAUUUCGGCAGACAGGGAGCUGUUUCGCUGCAGGGCUAACUUCCGCACACGGCUUUUGAGUGCAUGAAACACAUUCUCUAUGGGAUUCAGUUCUGGUGUGUAUGGUGGCACAAAGCAAAACUCGGGGAGUUGGACCCCACAGGGCUCAGCAUCUGCAAACAGGUUUUUAUGGAUAGAUGCAUUAUCGAGCAGCAUCAGACAUGAACUAUCGAGCUUCAAAGACUGUACAAACCCGGCAAAAUCAAUUUUCUUGAGACCUCCCACUUUUAGCAUGGACCCUACAACAGAACCAUGGUUAUCCACGGCAAGGAGAAGUGAGUGAUGCGUCCAGAUUCCUGUGUGUGUGCGCGCAAUAAUGUGCUGACCCUUGGGCGCCCAUCCAUACAAAGGCACCAUGCGUUCACUGAAUGCAUAUGCGUGUCGCUAGAGAUCAUGCAAUUGCCGCCGGUGGUGGGCUUGCUGCCCCUGGUGCAGCAUGUGCAGGCGCGGCGGUGCAUUCACAUGCGGUUCUGCCGCUCGUUUGUGUGUGUCAAUCAGGAGCCUUUGCGCUUGGAGUGACUGCGUUGUCUGUAUCGGUUCUGUGUUGUUGCGCGUUGGGCCUGAGAGUCGAGAGCAAUGUGUGGGCCUAGCUAGCUGUUGGCGGGCGCCACACCGAGCCUUGCUUGGUGUUGUUGUGAUGCACUCUUCCAGCUGUCAAACGUAGCGUAAUCGUUCAGGGGCACCGGACACCGUACUGAUCAUCGAAUAUGAUGUAGAACGUGGGCGCCUUCGAUGUCACAAUUGGGCGGCAAGCAAGUAACACAACGUCCCGUGAGGUGGCGAAUCCCCCCGUACCCGAUCGAGAAACACAAAUACAAAAGGGGCAAAGCAAGUCCGGGCGCGCUGUGACUGUACCGACUGAUGCUGGUCGAGGUGGCUGGAGAACGUGGGUGCCCGAGCUCUUAUCUCGGAUUACAUAGUGCUUUCACGCAACCCCUCCGCCGUCCUGACAACCAGUCACACAGCUGCAGUCCUCGCUCUUUAUUCUUCUCUAUUCAGCUUACAACAUUGCAUCGCCUUAUGCCCACUCUAUCUACCUCGCACCCAGACUUGGGGCCCGCACUGCGGGGAGUUACCAAGAACUAAGCCCAACAUAGCACAUUGCGCAUAUCGGGCUCUAUCUACUUGUCCAUCAGGCGCGUGCAGACUACUUGUGGUCCGCAACUUUGCACUGCACAUACUGACAGUAGCUAAGCCCAUGCAAACAAUAGCCGGGUCGUCACGUUAGCUGCUCCCACGCCCACGCAGCGCGCCCAACUUCCCACCCUGGUGGCGCUGACGGUUUUCCAAUCCCGCGCUGGGGUCCAUCACACCUACCACCGCCAUACAUCACGACCGGCAGGUGCCAGCAGCGGGGCCGGCACCCUGCUGGCGCAGCUGCCGCGCCAGCAGCCGGCACCCACACUGUCGUCGCAGCAGUGAAUGCCCCAAUGCCCCGCCGUCCUAUAACUAGGUCUGGCCACUCCAUGCCGCACGCACUUGUGUACACGCACACGGAAGUGGCAAUUGGUACAGACACCAGCCAGUGGCCCAUGUACGCCUGCGCGUGAGAAGCCCCACGCCCCCGACAUACGGCUUCUGGCCGACGUAUGUGCUUUGAGCGGCGGCAGCAUGUACUUGUAUUGCGCAACGGAGAUGUGCGUGUGUGUGUGUGUGGCGGGGGGGUCUGUACGUUAGCAGGGUACGGCUUGUGUGUGCGGUGUGUGCGGCAAAUCACAUGCGUGCAGGGCCAACCAGCUGCGCAGCAGCCCCAUGCACACAAGUGGGCACGCGCCGGCGGAGGCAUGCAGCCAGGCGGCAUGUUGACCGAUAACCAAAGAGCGCCCGACACCCACACGUGAUCCCUGCUGCUGCAUGCCUUGAAAUAAACGCGCAUGCGCACAAUUGACUGCAGUGGCUGUUUGUCCCAUGAAUGCGCCACCGCUGUGGCGCCGCCGCAAUGAUCCCACUGCCGCCGCCGCUGCCGCCGCCGCUGCUAUGCACUCAUCCAUCUCCACUUAUGCUAUUUAGAAAUGUUGUUGUGCAAAACCCCACACCCGCCCAUGGCCCACCCAUCCACCCAUCUCACAUACAAAGGUCCAUCAUCGGGACCCAUACACCGCCUCGUGCUCCCACAGCAGCCAGUCGUACUCCUGCGUCACCUCGCAGCCGCACUCGUAGUCCUUCAGCCGCUUGCGGCUGAACGCCGGCAGCCGCGUGUGGCCCUGCAGCCCUGCCCAGUCAAAGUCCACGAACCGGACCUGGAUCUGCGGCUGCGGCGCCGCGUCGUUCACGCCGCCGCGACCACCACUGCCGCCGCCGCCACCACCGCUGCCGCCGCCACCGCCGCCUUGCGGCAUCAGCAGCUGCACCAUGACGUUCGCCUGCCGCAGGUCGGCGUGCACGCCGCGCAGGCCGCGGGCCUGGUCCACCACCAGAGCAUGCGCCCUGCCCAGCGCCUCCACCACCGCGCCGUGCAGCUGCGCCUUCAGGCCCUUUUCCAGGCCGUGGAACAUGCGCCACCCCUGCGCCUCCUCCAGCUGCUCCAUCACCAGCAUGGUCAGGCCGCACCCGAGCCGCUUGCUGGUGAACACCUUGGGUGCCAGGUCCGCCGCCGCCCAGGCGCGCUGCACGUCGACCGCAUGCGCGCUCAUGUGCGAAAACUUGACCACCACGGCCACAGGCGGGCCGGCCGCCGGCGCAGUUGCAGCCGCGGCGGCGCCAGGAGCCGCAUCCGCGUCCAGCUUUGGCCUGGAUGCGCACCAAGGCACACGGCGAAGCGCACGGGUUUGAAUGAAAAGGCGGAGGCAGUUGUGGCGAGAGAGGAGCAUAAGAGGGCGUCAAACAAUGCAGCAGUGCGACAUUCCGGUCGCAUGGACAUUACAAACACGUGCGUCACACAUGCACCAAGCCGGGGUCUGAGAUACACGUCAGCGCGCAAGGACAGCGGGGGUUCCUUCCUGGGCUCAACGGUUUUCCUUCCUGGGUUCUGAUACGGUUGAAGCGGUAUGAGGCAGGUAGGUUCCGCACCUCAGCCUCGCCCGCCAUAGCUCCCCAUGCCGCCUUGCACCCCUUGACGCGUCGACAGCACUGAUACUACCUGUUGAGGUUUAGAGCUUUCCCGGGCUGAUAGGAAGCUAUAAAGGGCUCAGCGAAUACGUCUGCGUCCACGUCUCAGUGCUGUUAAUACGUCUUUACAUCUACGUCUUACGUCUUAUGGCUUAGAGUACAUAUAUACGGCAGCCGUACACGUAUAUUGGGUUGGUUAGCAACAACAACAACCUCUGCACACCUGAGUGCGCAUAUCACUAGCACCGGAAUAUGGCGUGUCACUGCAUGGUGUUUGCCAUGGGUUUGCCUAGUUGGCUGACCGGAUAUGCUGAACGCCAACACUAUCUCAUCUGCACAUUCGCCGGGUUGGGCUGUGUGUCUUUGGGCAUGCCUGCUGCACGCCGCUAGACUUGACACCUCCACUUCUGCUUAAAUCCCGGUGAUGUUCCCCUGCUGCGGCCGCCUGUACUUCAUGCUUUCUCUAAGCGCCUGUAGGUGAGGCUACAUGCAGGACAUGCGGGACUCCGGCAAUAAGGCGUGUUGGGUAGGGUAAAACGUUGAUAGCGCGUUUCGGCACGCCGCACAGACACAUAUGGGUGCCUGUCGGGCCAGUUCUUUCGCGGACGCCCGAUCAUUGUGAGUAUCGUGGCUAUACGGUAAUGGUCGAAGCAGUGAUUUUGUAGGUAGUUCGGAAGUGACGCAAGCAACAGGCUAAAUUUAUUUUCAUGUGUCGUUGUCCAAGACGAAGACAUCAAGCACGCAGGCAGCCCAACCAGCAGCAAUUACGGGUGCUCUCACGUCCUCCGUUGGGUGCCCCCUCACCUGUACUUGGCAAAGUACAGCGGGUUGUACACGCCAGGGUUCCAGGCCACCACUUCCGUGAAGCGCGUACCCAGGCGCAGUGGGUACGGCAGCUGCAGGGCCGCGUCGCGCAGCAGCGGCACCACCCCGCGCCGCGCCGUGCUCCCUCCCUCGCCCGCCGAAGCCGACGCAGCCGAGGCGGAUGCCCCUGACUGCUCCGACCCCGCCGCCGAAGCCAAAGAAGCCAAGGUGGAGGCGAAGGCCGCAGGCUCUGCCGCCGCGGGUGGGGCGGCCGCGGCAGCAACUGUAAGCUGCUGCUUCUGCAGCUGCUGCACGCACGCGUCCUUGAGCAGCCCGAUGCUGCGCUUCAGCGCCCGCAGCACCAGCGCCAGGCGGACCAUGUGGUCUGGGCAGGGGAGGAGUAGAGGCAUGUGGGGUACGGCGUCAGCGUUUUUUGGUAUCAUCAAGGGCGCUGCGGACAGGAGGGACACAUGCAAUGGGAUUUGGGUGGGAGGGCAGAGGAAGUCCAGGCCAGGGUAGCUAAAGGCUGCAGCAGCUGCACGGCCCCUACUUCGAUCGCGUGCAACCAUCAAGCGUGUCGCACAUUCGGGAGCAAGAUGGAGAGGGGGUUAGGGUGGCGCAUGAGAGGGCAGCUCAACACGCACACACAAUCGAACACAUUCAGCGGCCGCAAGCGCGCCUAGUCUCCGUGGCGUCGUGGAGUGGGGAGUGGAAGAUCAGCCCCCCGCCAGCCCACGGCGCUCCCCCCGCCAGCCCACGCCACUCUGCACGCACGCACGCACGCACACACGGACACACGGACACACGCACGCACGCACGCACGCACGCACGCACGCACGCACACACAUAGCUGGAUUUCACGGGAUCCUUACAGCGACUCCGGAUGCGAGGGGGAGGCGCCCUCUAGGGGUUUUGCUCAGUCAGCGUCCCUGCAGCUGCGCCUGCAACCGCGCCUACCACCGUUCCCCAUCCCACCUCGCUCGCUUAAGCGCGCCACCAGAACUCGUUCUCUCCCUCGUGAUGGGUGAUAGGAAAAAUAUCCUUGCACAACACACAUGCGCAUGCACGCCCACACGCGCACUCGCCCUCACCGGGCUGGCAGCGGUGCAUGCUGAACAGGUGCAGGUAGGGCGUGAGCGGCUCACACACCACGGUCACGUCCGCCGGCGACGCCAGCGCCGACACGCGCAGGUGCGGCCCCACCAGCUCCAGGAACAGCACGGGCAGCACGCUGUGCCGCACCCACUCGGCCAGCUCCGGGCUGGCCACGUAUAAUUGGUAAUAGCGCUGGCCCUGGAAGUAGGGGUCGCCGCUGCUGGUGCCGAUCUGCGAGCAAUGUCAGGAGGCAGCAGAGGAAAGCAGGGUAGGGUAGGGUAGGCAAAGGAGAGCAUGCGCGUGAAAGCCGUGCGUACGUGUUCCACUGUGACAUGUGCGGCGUCAUGGGACGUCUGGCUCGAAGUGCCUAGGUCAGGAAGGGAAGGGCGAGGGCAGGAGCACCCCAAGACGCCAAUCUUGCAGCUGCCGCUUUUUGAUGUACAGCCGACCUAUGCACGCACGCACCUCGUUCUUGAGCUCCUGGAUGUACACCGGCAGCGACACGGGCCCGACCUGGCACAGCAGGCUCCCAUCGGUCUUGAAGUCCGCACCGAGGAUUGGACUGUCAGGCUUGAUGGGCUCGCCGAGGUAUUCACUGAGUAUCUUGACGAACGCCACCAUGCGGUCGGCCUCGCUGGGGAAGCUCUUGGCCAUGGCCGCGCACAGGCUGCAGUGCACACAGCACCAACGCGCGGCCCACAUAUGUUGGUCGGCAUUGUGGGAGCCGAGGCGACCAGCAUGCUCGUGUCAAGCAUCGACCAUAUCUCCCUCUCCAACCGGCCCUCACCCUGCCACCUCGACUUGCCACUUGUCCCCCCUCCCUCCGCAACGUCAGCCCCAACUACGUCAUUGAUACUAUAGCGGCUUACCUGGUCGCCACAAAGCAGUCGGCGUCUGAUGGGGGAACGCCACCAGCUCCGCAGCCACCGCCACUGCUGCCGCUGCUGCUACUGCCGCCGACACCAGCACAACCGCUGCUGCUGCUACCGCUGCGGCUGUCGUCCUCGCGGAUCCACUUGCACAGCAGCGCCUCACGGAACAGCCCCGCCGCCUUGUCCAGAACAGCGUCGUACAGCGCUACCGGCAGAGCCCUGGUGGCGCCCACGCCCGCGGUUGGCCGCAAGCACCGAAAGAAGCCGUGGUUCGUUUCGAGCGACCAGAUGUUGCUGUUAACCAUGUCCGACGGGUUUGGCAGCGUCUGGAGCUGUUGCUGCAGCCCUGUGCGUUUGGAGGCACCAGGCAGCAAUUUCCCCCUAAUUGACGAGGAUGCGGCCGAGCGGCCGAGGCGAAGCCCAACAAACGAAGAUUUUAACGCACAUGUCAGGCACACCACACCAGGAUGUAAGAAAGGUGACAUCUUUAACACUCCUGACCGCGACGAACGUCGACAAGAACGCUCACCGCUCAGAGGUUGGACUUGGACUUGCUUCUGCAGCUGCUCUCGCAGCGCCUUCUUAUCAUCCCGCAGCUGCUCCUCUUUCUUGCGGAGCUGCUCCAACGCGGUGCGCACUGCCGUCAGGUCAUGGCUCUGGAAUUCAGCUUCCUGCUGCUUGGCUUGGAGAAAAGCUUUCUCCUCAUCACUAAGGACUGCUUUGGCGAGCUGGGCCUGCAACUUGCUAAGCUCCUGGCGCGUCUUCCGCGCUUGGGGCGCAAUUUCCUUCUCUUCCGCCGCUUUCUCCUUGAUAAUCUCUUCAAGAUCGGCAAGCUGCAAAUUUAAGUUUGCAAUCUCGUUCGCAAUCUCGUCAUCAAUGUCGCGACGACGAGAACGCUUCGUCAUUUCGCACACAAAUGCAACGUGCUGGAGCUCUGAAAGUAAGGUGUCUUAUGAAGUAUCAAGGUAUCGUUAGGAAGAUUUGCAACGCCAGCUAUGUCUCGAGUCGACAGGGCUAGGCAGCACAACCAAUGGGCGAGCUGAGGCGUACAUCGGCGUCCACGCCCCUCGUAGACGCUUGCGUCCACGCCAGGCGUGGAUGCCCCAUGCACUAUAUUUCUCGCUUGUAUCAUGCUACUCUAUAUUUAGGGCGCAUGUAUGCAACGUAAAACGCCAGCCCCGCGAAAGGGGCCGCGAAACGCUGGGCAUGUUGACCGAAGGACAAGCUGGUUGCCCGCGAGAGGUCACAAAUGACCAUCGCAAUCGCUAAGUUAGAUACGUUUACAAGUCUUGUUUACCCUGAGCCAAAGUUCGGGCCCCCGGGCGCCUGCCUGCGGGAGCAACACCUUGAAUGCCUUCGCGGCGCACCGAGCGCCUGCCAAGCUCGUACGGGAAGCAGCUCCGCAUUUAAGUUUGCCCUUAUGGUCUUGCAUGGUGUGAUGCGAGUGGCAGAGCGGGCCAGGUAAUGCUGUCUCGGGAGCAAGGCCGGCCAUCGGUGGGCUUCGAGGGGCUCCCUGUUGCGCCUUGUGCGCGGCGGGCACCGCUUAUGGACGUGCGCCAUUGGCCGGGUGACGGGACGGGCGGCGGCAUACGGAGGGGGCUGGAGGGGAGGGGCUGAAGUGGGGACAGGUGCGAGGGGGGGCGGGGGCAGGGGGUGGGGAGGGCAGGCACGCAGCCUGGCUGCUGGACGCCGCAGGCUGUGCCGCGCGGGCCCGGCGCCCCGCUGAUGGACAUACUAUAGCACGUGCUAUGAAUAGUGUGGUGGAGGACUAGAAGUGCGUGUGGAGCAGGGGUGGCAGGGGCGGCGGGGGCUGAAGGUAAGGAUGGCAACGGUGGGGAUGGGAGGCUAUGAGGAAGGGGCGCGAACAGGCUGCCGUACUCAGCAAUCACGGGUCACAGGAUGCACUGAAUGCUACCUCUGACGCUCAUUGGAAUGAGCAGCGUGCUCAGCAAGAGUACCGUGGUCAUUGUGAUUGCUGUGGGGGCCUGUAUGGGUUAGUCUGGGGAGCGGCACCCCUGGCCAACGCCGCAUGCAUGCACAUUAUGUCUAAUCUUCAAUGAGCUUCACAGCAUGCUUCUAUUACGCACUAGUGUGCUUGGAUUGGUAUGGUGCGCAGGGUGCGUGUGGGUAGGGGGAGGGGGGCUGGCUGUUGGGUGGCCGGGUGGGGUGAACCCUGGCUGCCGUUCGAGGGGUGUGCACAAUGUCACACUGCUCUGGUAUGAUGUCCUGGCAGGGUUGUCGGCAAGAACCGUAGUGUUACGCUAGAUUGGUGAUACUGGAUUGGUGAAACAGGGUUACGUUCACCAACUCCGUGGCACGGAGUAAUGUGGGCUAGGGUGCUGGGGGCUGGGAGGGGUGCUCUCCCAUAAAACCCAUUACAAAUUGUGUGCUGGGUGCGUAAUGCCAGCCCCUCACACCGGCCGUCACCAAUUUCAAAAUCACCAAUUGAGUGUAAACACUACCGUACACGCCGACCAGGGUUAGUGGUCAAACCCCACUAACAUGCUACACGGCAUAUGCCCCCGGUUUGACAAGAAAAGGUGGCUCUCCCUUGCAAGGGAAAAGUGGGCUGUGCCGCCACGCCACGUCCUCCGUCUGAGGCCGAAGGUUCCGAUACUAGCCUCAUCUCCCGGACAUAGCCGGGGUCGGUUUGUACAGGCACCGCCCGCCAUAUGUGCCCAGUCGCGCCCAGCUAUCAAGCACUAGUGCAGCAGGCAGCAGGCCAACCAGACAGCAAGGAAAACACCCCUGCCGCUGCAGCUGACUGCCCGCUACGCCAUCCUCGUCAGCACAGGUCGCUAACCAGACAACACCGGCAGGUCUCAACCUGCGCGCCGGCGCCGCUUUGAAGGCGGCGCCGCGCUGUCCUCCUCCACGUGGCCUUGCCCGCCCCCUCUGCUCCGAACAUGCGCGCCGCCACUGCCGCUGGGCCCAGGGCCGCCCGUGCCGCCACCACCACCGGGCCCAACGCCGUGGCCGCUGCUGUUGCCGCCGGUAGGCGCGGUGCCACCGCCGCCGCCACCGCCGUCUCCAGGCCCUGCACCGCCGCCACCGCCACCGCCACCGCCACCGCCGCCGCCAGGCCCUGCACCGCCACCGCCGCCAGCAGGUCGCAGGGCUGCAGGCCGCGGUUUGCCAAGCAGCAUCUCCAUCAGCGCGUGCCGCAUGUUUGUAGCCGAGUUGGCGUCGCGGCCCUGCAGUUCAACAUGCAAACAGGGCGUGUGUCAUCCCAUGUGUCAUCCCGUGUGUCACCCCGUAUCAUCUCCAAACCGCCCUGUGUCAUCCCGUGUCAUCCCGUGUCAUCAUCUCCAAACCGACCUGCCGCCCCAAACCUGCCCCAAACCUGCCAUCCCACUUACCCACACAGUCCCGCAGUGUUGGCACACUUGGACGUCGCGGGCACGCGAGCCACCAAACGGAAUCACAACUUCCAGGCAGCGCUGCCCGUUACCAAGCAGGCGCCGUCCGCACUUCGCACACACCUGCUCAGACACAGAGAUAGGUUUGCGCCAGGUAAGGUACGUGUGCAUUGAGCGUUGUGCGCAUUGCUUUGUGAAGAUCACAGCGUACCUGGCUGGUGUAGUAUUCGUCCACGUAGACCACCAGGUGGGCGUACUUGUCCACCAGCAGACGCAGCAGCGCCCGGUUUGGGCCCCUGCCUGACCUGAAUUGCGAAGUGAGUGAGUGAGUGGGUGAAGGUGAGUGGGUGAGUGAAGGUGGGUGAGUGAGUGCGUUGCUGAGCGAGUGGCCGGGUGAGUGAGUGGCUGCGUUAGCCAAGGACCAGAGCCGCUGCCUGACCUGCUGACGCAGCCGCCGUGGCCAGUGUUGGCGUUGCCCCAGCCGACGAUGACCUCCUCCUUGGGCCUUCCCCCAGCCAGCUGCUGCGCCGUUUGCUCGAGGACCUGGACGGGCAUGACGUUGUGCGGUGAGUUGUUUGCAUGAGCUGUACAGGGCACGCUUGCAACCUGGGACAGACGGAGUUAGCAACCAACGCGCACCUUCUGGCUGCGAAUGUAAACAGUCAAGCGCCACCGCCGCUGGCCCCACUGCCGGUAAUGGCGCAGGAGCUGCCACAGCCCUAUCCCACCGCUGCCGCCGUAUAGGUACUGAAUGCGGCGUGUGUGGUCAGCUGCAUACGCCACCCGCGCACUUGGGAUCCCGGCCUGCCACCGCUGGAGCGCUGGCUGCUCCUGCAGACGCGCCUCCUGCCAACGCUGGCGCUCUGAUUGGCCAGUGCGCUUGCGGUAACCAGCACCAUGCACAUGCAAACCGAACCGGAAUCGCUUGCACGCUUGGGUGUACGUACCAAUAUGUAUUAGGAGCCAGGGGGCCACGGGGCGUGUGCUGAAUCCGGGGAACAUGGCCUGCCGAGGCAUGCAUCUGCUGUCCGUAUGGGGCUUCAUGCACACACCCGGUUUGGAAAUGCAAUGUUUGGCCGCGCAACACAUGCAAAUCGAACCGGAAUCGCUUGUACGUACCAAUAUGUAUUAGGAGCCAGGGGGCCACGGGGCGUGUGCUGAAUCCGGGGAACAUGGCCUGCCGAGGCAUGCAUCUGCUGUCCGUAUGGGGCUUCAUGCACACACCCGGUUUGGAAAUGCAAUGUUUGGCCGCGCAACACAUGCAAACCGAACCGGAAUCGCUUGCACGCUUGGGUAUACGUACCAGUAUGUAUUAGGAGCCAGGGGGCCACGGGGCGUGUGCUGAAUCCGGGGAACAUGGCCUGCCGAGGCAUGCAUCUGCUGUCCGUAUGGGGCUUCAUGCACACACCCGGUUUGAAAAUGCAAUCAGCGCUCGUAUCUUACGAAGGCAGGGGCGGCGUCAGUGGCCGAAUUCCCUAAAAUAGCUUCGUUUAGUUGACGAAACAGGCUGCCGCCGCUUCGUUCACCCCCAAAAUUUUUCCGGGGGCUCCGCCCCCAACCCGCACGAUGUCGACACUGACACGACACACCCACUCCUCCCCUGCUUCCCGCCGACCCAACCUCACUCUCCCGCCGUCAACACCCAUAGAUACAGCCCUUUGAGCCUUCUUACCAUAUGCCACGCAGGUUUCGGCCGUGGAGUAGCCGCUGGAACCCCCUGUUCUUGGCCAAAAGUGGCCGAAAUCCCAAAAAUGUCUUCGUCUGUUUGCCGAAAGACCCCCCAAGAUCCCGUGCGUUUUGGCCGAAAUUCCAAGUCAAGAUCAAAAAAAUUUCGUCCGCCAGAGGCCUUUUUGGGCAAAUUUCGUUCCGAAAGAAGGAAGAUACGAGCGCUGAAUGCAAUGUUUGGCCGCGCAACACAUGCAAACCGAACCGGAAUCGCUUGCACGCUUGGGUAUACGUACCAAUAUGUAUUAGGAGCCAGGGGGCCACGGGGCGCGUGCUGAAUUCGGGGAACAUGGGAUGCGGGCUGAGCACGAAGUGAGGAAACCAGGAAGGGACCGCUUCUGCUCCCGCCCAUACGGUAACCCGCCCGCCCAUACACCCAUUAGCAUCUCCGGCGCGCGCCUGUUCACUAACUCACGCCAUCAGCAUCAGUGCAUUGAAUUCAGCAGAUUGUCCAUAGACUGCUGUGCAUGUGGUACAGGGAUGUGUCCCAGGCCGGGGUGCCCUCAAGUCCACUGUGUGGCUCCAUCCCUCCCCCCCCCCUGCGUUCCAAUGUUCAAUGAGCGUCAGAGGUAGCCUUCUGUGCAUCCUGUGACCCUUAAUUGCUGAGUACGGCAGCCUGUCCGCGCCCCUUCCUCCCACUGUCCCAGCCUCCCAUCCCCAACCGUUGCCAUCCUUACCUCCCAGCCCCCGCCGUACAUGACCACUCCGAGUCACCUGCCUCACACGUGCCUACAGCCCCCUACCCCACCCAGUCGGCCAGUCAUAGCACCUGCUAAAGGUUACCCAUAGACGGGACGCUAGGCCCGCGCGGCACAGUCUGCGGCGUCCAGCAGCCAGGCUGCGUGCCUGCCCUCCCCCGCCAAGAAGAUCGCGGCAAACCCGAGGAAGAGUGAUUGCUGCGUUCCUCACCAGGGCCAGAGUCAGACCAAGAAUCUAUGCAAGCUUUUGCUGGGCAUGUGCAGGUCAGUCCCUUACCGGGAAGCAUUCAUCUGAACGUGAAGCAUAGCCAUGGCAUCUCUCACUCUGUCGUACUUUCUUUCUCAGGAUGCUGAGGACUUGUUCGACCCGAUCGCCGGUCUCAAUGGCGUGGCCGACAGCUUCUUUACGGCCACGCCAACACACAGCUGGCAGCGGUGAAGGCGGAGACGGCGGAUUUCGAGGCGUACCGCAACUACCUGCGCACGUACCUCUCUGUGCUCCGGCCCCUGCUGGCGCACCGCACGGCACGCGGAUACAGGAACAUGCGGUUCCUGCGGAAGGUGGGGCGCGACAAGCUGGUCAACACCAUCAGCAGGAGCAUCGCGCCACACAAACCGGAUGGCAGUGGGAUGAUCGCGGUGGGCAUGGGCGACUGGCAGGGACCGGGCAACACACCCAUCAAGCGGCGGACGAGCGGGCCCCUGGAGCUGGUCAGGCUGCACCUCAAGCACCGCAAGGACGUGGUGCUGGUGCCGGUCAAAGAGCCCGGCUCGUCGUGCUUGUGCCACAACUGCCACAACCGGCUCACCAACAUGCGCGCCAACACCACCCGCUACAACAAGGAGGGUGAGAAGGUCACCAAGAUGUCCAAGGUCCACAAGGUUCUGUACUGCAGGGCGCCGGCCACCAAGGCUGGCAACAACCUGAAGAACAGUGACAGCGGCAAGCCCCGCUGCGGCACCACGUGGAACCGCGACGUCAACGCGGCCAAGAACAUGCUCAUGCUGCUGAUGUGCAUCCUGCAGGGCGAGCCCCGCCCCAAGGCGUUCCGCCUGGCACACGCCAAGAACGGCUGAGCAGUGCAAAAGAAGUAGAAUGAUUGUCGAGAGGCACACUGUUAUCAGAGCAGAGAUGCACCACGAGGCAUCUGUGCAAUGGGUGUGUUAUCCGCGACACCUGCGUGUCCAAUGUAGAACUAUCUAGUGGUGCAUGGCUGCAAAACCGAUAGUAUCCAUGGUAGAUGAUGGGCCUUGAUGUCCGUACCCGAUGCUAGUUUGGUGGCGUGGCUGUGUAGUUGAUGCAUGUGGACGCAGAAAUACAGUUGUUGGUCUAGAUCACAGUGAGCGCAUCCCUGAACAGGCGGUGUCCCACAAAAAUUUGGACAGACUGUAGCUAUCGCACAUGCGGCUCAAAGUGCAUCGUUUGGAAUUGUGAGGGGGUAUGUAGAGGGGUUUUACAGGGAUAGUAGGAGCUGCGCAUAAAAAUCAAACCCAUGCAUCCAAGUGGCAACCAUCCAUCUACAUCCAACAAUGGCCAAGCAAAUCACAUGGACCAACAUCCUGUACGAGGCGGAUCCCCGCUUUGCCCCAUACGCUGUUCUUCCCCCGUCUGGAAAGACAUCCAAGAAGAAGUCCAAAUUCCAGCGUAUGGUGUUCAAGAGCACCAAGACUGUCAAGAAAUGGGCCAAGUCCGUGUGGAAGUGCACCAAGUCACAGUGUGGCAAGGUGUGGCAAAAGAUCAAGGAGCAACCCUUGUGGGUUGCAAUUCCUCUCUGCAUGUGCGCAAUCGCUCUCAUUUCCUGGGGCAUGGCACUGCUGUUCCCCAUGGUGGGAACCGUCACUGCCCUUGUGACUGCAGUUUACCUGACUGCCACAUUGACUGGUGCGGUGAUUGGGCACCUGACCUCAUGAUUUGGCAGACACCUACCGACUUCGUGAAUUUUUUACCACAGCAGUUCAUUGGGUACACCAGUGUGUCUUUGAUCACGUCGAACCCUUGUUGGCUACGGACCCUUGAAGGUUCUGAACAAUCAGGCCAUACUUGGCCAUGGCGGCGUCAGCAUCGAACGCCCGCAGCUUGAAUGAGAACAGGGCAUCAAAGACUUUGGGGUGCGCUGUGAAUGUGACCCCUGCAACGUACAUACUGAACGCAACAAGGCUCACCACAGCAUACGCUACAGCCGCGAAUUUCACCAAAGCUCUGAGGCCAAAAAGCGGCAAGAUUUCGGGAAUGUGCGCGAGGACUUAGAGCAGAAGUAUGAAAGUCACAACUUCGCUGUCAUGCCGUCACGCCUGGCGACGGUACGGUGGCGUGUGAUGCCUUGUGAAAGGAUUUGAGGCUUUGGUAUACAAGAACAGCCACAAGACUGGUCUUGGCGUUCAUCGUCCCAAGUUUCAAUUACCGUUCUUCGAACACACUACACUCGAACACACCCUUUGUCUUGCGUUGCGGCGUCCCAAUUUCAAGAACGCAUACUUGAUAUCCGAGCUGGAGAAUAAGAGCUUGCAAGCAUGAAGAAGGCACAAUUUGUUCACCCCAACUAUGCCGCGACUGGCCUGGACAACCGCACACGCUACAUCCUUGAGCAGUCAAGCGUAUUGCCUCCGGAUUUGGGAACAUACACUACCAGUGGCUUUUCUUCUGACUGCGAUCGUCUCAGCGCCAUCCUUGGCAGUGACUUCGCAGACAAUACCGUAAAAUGUUGUGCUGAGUUGACACGCAAGGAAGUUCUGAGUCAGCUGGACUGGCUGUUGAGCGGCGAUCCGGAAGUGGCCUGUUUCUUCUUCUCUGGACAUGGCGUCAACGAGUACGGAACUGUACAUGGAUCCAUGGUCUGUUCCUUCAAUCAGCGCAUUUCCCAUAUUGCCCUCGACGAGGCCGUGCAGCGAGCAAAGUUCAGAGGCACACUCAUCGUCAUCCUAAACAUGUGCGAGGCAGACCACGUACCAUGGACCACAGAACCCCCUGUGCCAGCUGGCAGUGUGCAGCGUGACGGCAUGAAAGCUGCGUGCUCUUCAUCCCCAAGAGUUGACAGCGGCCACACGCGUGUUACCCUUAUGGCAUCAGGCCCCUUCAGCAAGACGUCGGGGAACAGCAGGGGGAGCACCUUCAUCGCCACUCUGAGCGAGCUCUUCAAAGACCGAGUGGUCACGUACGAAUCACUGUCUGGUUUGCUCGAGUCGGGUGUAUCGGUGGGGGCCUCAGUCAUGUGCUCAGCUGGUGGGCACCCAGCCUUGCUGUUGGGUCAGUUCGGAGCUGCCGCCAAACCAUCCAGCGUGAGUGAGAGCAGCAGGGCAUGAGUGUGGGAAUGAGGCAGACUGCACGUGAACAUAUUGUGAAUUUAUGCGCAGGUUGAGACCGCUUUCAAGGUUGCAAGGCAGCGAUAUGCUGCAGAUGCGGUUGCCGAUGCCUCUGCACAGGGAUCAUUGCGGAUCUGAACGGCGGCCAGGUCCGCUGCAAGCCGGGCAACACGGGGGCAUGCAGCGGCAGCUGGUGCCCCAGCAGGUGGUGGCCAUGCUCGGGAUGGUGCCGGACUACAAGUCGCUGUCGCGCAGCAACAAGCCGGUGCCGUACCGGCUCGAGUACGUCCGCCGGGCGUACGUGCGUGGACCAUUUGUCGGCGGCAGCAGCGACCAUGACGCCGCGGCUGGUGGGCCUGUGGCGGUGGAGCAGGUGGAGGAGACGGCCGGCGACGGUACCGACUGCGCAACACCCUCCACACCAAGCCCGGAAGCUGCCGCCCGUGGACAACGACAGCAAGCAGGUGCGGGUGCUCGUGUGUGGGGUGUGGGGUGCUGCGGGGACAGCAGAGGCCCUUGAGCCUUUUGGGUGAUGUGUGCCCAGGUGGCCGGGCCCUCAGCAGCAUCUCCCCCCCCCCCGUGACACAACUCCUUCUCCCUCUCUCAGACAGCGGCGGUGGACCGCAGUUCUCCCAGUGACGUGGAGCUAGACCCGAUCAGCAGCCUGUCACGCUGUUACUUCUGCUAAUGUUGCACGCCAUACGAGUGCUAAUGUGAAACUCGACGCGUUACGUACGCUAAUUCAACACGUGCGCAUAGUAAAGUGUUUACAACGUACGUUGUGAGCCCGUCACGCUGUUACUUCUGCUAAUGAUGCAUGAAGUACGAGUGCUAAUGUGAGACUCGUACUUGUGUGAAUGUGUAGGGGUACGAGUGCUAAUUUAACGUGUGCGUAGGUAAUGUGAAGGGGUAUGUAGAGGGUAUUUUACAGGGAUAGUAAGGUGUUGUGACUCCAUUGAGUAAUUAGCGCUGAGUUGGCAUGGCUAAAAGGCCUUUGGUACGUGUACGUUGUCAGCCUGUCAAGCGUUGACGUUGCUAGUUAUGCAGUAAACACGUUGUUGUACCUGAAACUCGACUUGUGUGAAUUUGUAGGGGUAAGAAUGCUAAUAUAACGUAUCGUUAAGAAUUGUGAAGGUAGGAUGUGGAGGUAUUUUACAGGGAUAGAAGGGGAUGCGGGGGGUUAGCCGGUUAGCGAUUAUAUCGACUAGGGCAUUCGGGCUGAGUGCAAAGCGGUAAAAGGCGGUCUGGUACGCGUACGAGUGCAGUCUGUAAAGCUGUUACUUCUGCUAAUGAUGCAUGAAAUACGAGUGCUAAUGUGAGACUCGAUUUGUGUGAAUUUGAAGGGGUACGAGUGCUAAUUUAACGUAUAGUUAGGAAUUGUGAAGGGGUAUGUAAGCGAUGUUUACAGGGAUAGAAGGGGAUGUGUCACGGGUAGUCGGUUAGGUCCCGUGCUCGUGCUGCUGCGUGGAUCCUGCCCACCGCCACCGCCGCCAGUGCCCCGGCAGCCGCGGCGGCCGCGCCCACCGUUGCUGCUGCUAGAGCCGGCGGGGCUUUUACCGGCACGCUUAGCUGCUGCUGCUCUCGCACCCUGCUCGCAGCCGUCCGCGCUGCCUGCCACGGCGGACCCCUCCUCCUCCGCACCCGCCGCGCCCGGCUGCAGCGCGGCUCGCUCCUGCUGCACCAGCCGCCACACCCACACCCUCAGGCUGUGCAUGUUGAGUUCAAUGCGCAGCUCCAGUUUAUAGCCGGUCCCCAGCAGCGGCAGCAGCCCGCCACCGUCACUGCCGCUGCCGCCUUUGCUGUCGCGGGUGUCGCUGUCGUACCCCUCUAGCUCCAGGGGUCCCACCAGCCCUAGCUCCAGGGCCCAGGUGGUGGUGGCCAGGUUGCCGCCUGCCGCCAUCACCCACAGCUCGGCCGGGUGCAGCAGGGGGUGGCGGCAGUCCUGCAGGACAGCAGGGCACGGGCGACGGGGGCGUGGGGUGUGAAAAUGUGGGUGCGCGUGGCGUGUGUGUGAGGAUUUAGGUAGCAUCCGUGAAAGGACGGAGAUGUGUGCGCCGCGAGCCAAGGCAGCCACGUGGCCUGACCACCUACCACCGUGAUGCGAGCGCACACCGCCGCGCACAGUGGCCACCCACCUGCAUGCCUGCAUUCCUCAUUCCUCGUGGCUGCAACCGGUGCACCCACCUCCCUGCCUCACGCACCUUAUUUGCUGCACGCUGCGCCUCCAUGGCCCACUCCGCGGUCUCGACACUGCCGCCCGCCGUCGCGGCGGCGAAGAGUAUAUCCGUAUCCCGUCCGCACCGCGCAUACAUCAGCCGCGCCAGCGACAAGUCUGCGCCGUAGUAGCCCGCGGCCCUAAGAACGCUCGCCCAUUCUGACCCGCUUGCCACACGACUCCCAGCAGCGCCAGCGCCAGCGCCACCAGCGCUCGCGCCACCGCCACGGCCGCCGCGGUCACCCGCCUGGCCCUCCUCGUCGCCCUCUGUCGCCUCCCCGCCAACUGCUUCGGCCAGGUACCGCAGCGCCUCGAGAUGGCCCGAGUACGCCGCAGACCAGGCUUGGUAAUUUAGCGUGAGCACGGCUGGUCCGAACCGCCGGCACAGCAGGCGGAGCACCGGCGUGUGCCCGUUCCGGGCAGCAAUGUCUGCAAGGCGUUGCGCGCCCGGCGGCGCGGUGCCGGCGGCCUCUGCGACGGGCAGGAACCCCUACCGUUCCAGCCCCUAUUAAACCGAUCGGUAUGGGGGCGGUUACCGAGCGGUCACCCUAAUAAACCGAUGGUCAGCGUCGGUUAGCAUCGGUCAGGAUUGGUAUGGGUUGGCUGAUCGGUAAAACCUCGGUAAACUUUGAUAAAAUGGUAACUUUGUGGUAACCCAUUGGUAUGUGGCUCCUACCCAGGCUCGCUCAGCCCCCACCCAGAUGCCGCCCAGGCCCGCCCAGCUGCCGCCCAGGGCCGCCCAGGGCCGCCCAGCCGCCGCCCAGGCCCGCCCAGCUGCCACCCAGGCCCGCCCAGCCUGGCCAGGGCCUGCCCCCAGCAUAGAUGCGUGCAGCUCUGGCCGCGGCCGUGCCUUCGGCCAUGGCUGGGGGUGUUAUGCUAGGAGACCACAUUGGGGCGGAACUGUCAGCGGCUCCCUAUUGGUCACCCGCAGGUAACUCAUCACUCGCUGCCCAGCCACGAUGGUGCGUGCCUUAUGCUUAAGGUAGGGGCCUGCCCUCUUCCCUCACACACACCGUGGGAGGACUUGUAAUACCUGUACUCCUCCAGCUGCCCCCCCCCGCAUGGAUGGUAAUGCACACAGAUGUUUACAAACAGCAACAUUGGGAGCAAGGUGUGCGUCUUCUUCUUCACCCCAUACCAUCCAUGAUCAUCCCACUGCUGAUCUUGCCGUCUCCCCUUGAUGCUUCCCAAUCCACGUAGUCUACCAAACCACAACUGUGCAGCAUGCAUUGAUGGCGUUUAGCAGCGCCGCGCCUCCUCCCUACGUCAGUGUUUCGGCCCCUUACCUCACCAACCCCCAUAACCCCCCCCCCCUUCACCCCCACCCGCACCCACCUGGCCCCUGUACCCUCGCCAGCCCAGAAGGCCAUGUAAGAGCUCCCAAAUGUAGUGUUUGUUAUGUGGGAACAUAGGGGCGAGAAGUCUGGGGCGAGGCCUGUGGGAUCAUUGGGGCGGCCUCGCCCCUGCCGAGCCCCUGAACCCCCAAGCGUGCCCCCCAGUAACCCUCCGGCAGUCGCUGACGGCCGAGCUCCGACCGCCGCGCUUCCUGAGCUGUAAACUUACUUUAGUAAUGUAGUUGCAUGUAGUGUAUGCUUCCUGAGCAUAGGAAUGCACCUGAGCAGCGGGCUGUGUCGACCGAGGCAGCAAUGAACCCCCCCGGUCACUGCUGUCACUUGGCGCAUGGCUUUAGCGGUUGAUAUCAAUAGUCUGUUAUGCAUUUAGAGUACUUGUCCCAGAAAUUCGGGCUUUUCGGGUGUCUCAGAGAAAGUGGUCGAGCGUCCCCCGGCCGGGGGACGCAAACCCAUGUUUGUCAACUCGUCGAGUUGUGUAUUUGAACUUGACCACACUGUGUAUAUUGACUAAUGCCUAUAAAAAUCAAUCAACCCCAACACCCAAAGCCGUCCAGGAGUGUAGAGUACUUUACAUCACCGGGUUGAGGCCGUUUUCUCCUUCUUACAUCCUUCCUAGUACACUAAGUUAAAAGCUGACAUCUUUCCCAGUACAUUACGCAGGCCUUCCGUUGGGGUCUGAGGGAAAAACGCUAGCCUCUGCAUGGGGUUCCUGCGGGCCUUCAACUUCAAGCAGCCAAUUUACAUAUGCUGUGAUAACUGAUAUACCGGUAUACAUAUAAUUUAUAUACUACAUUUCAUUAUAGAGCGUUUGCUCGCUCUCCCUCAUUCCGCCCCUCGCCAGUCGCUAUUUUGCUUUGUAAACACAAAAAUAAGGCUAGUUCUAAUGUCAGUAGAACAAGAGCUGGUGGCUGAGGCUGCUUUGUUGGCUUGGGACGCGAGUUUUCGCGCUGCUGACCGCUCGUUGACCAGCUCGGCGACGCUGCUGCUGAGACGUCAGCUGAAGCCAGCUAUCACAUGAGACUUACAACUGUGCCUCAUAAAUGAUCAGCUGUGCUUUUAAUGUUUUAAUGGGGAAGUCUUGGUCAAAAACGCCAUACAUUCAACAUCACGUUCAGCACGACCGUUGUCGCGUCUCACGGAAGUCCACAGGUUAGUCCACAGGUUAAAAUGAAGACGGGAGGCUUUAAACCUGCAGCCUGGAAUGCCCGCCCGGCCAUAUGUCACAACCCCGUGUGUGUAUGUGUACUUGCAGGAUCCUCCGCCAUGCUCUUGAGGACGAUUCUAGGAGCCGUUCGAGGGUGAGUCCAUGGAAAAUAUGUUUGAGGAGAUGCCGUAGAUGCAGGUAGAUGCAGGUCCCCAGCGGCUGCAACCCUGGCGCAAGAUGGUUCGCAACCCCUUCACUCAUGUUGUGUUCGCUAGUCGGAGCCCCAGCCUUCAAGAGAUGACUGUUUGCUGCCUCCCUUACUAGCGCUGUAUGGUAUGUAUGUCUAUAUCACUUCCUGGUACCUCUAGUCCGUGUCACAUACCCGCCUGCUGCCACACGCCCCUUCCCCCAGGUCGGCUGGCUGGACUGCCGCCACACCUCCAACAUUGUGUUUAGCAACGGUGAGUGUCCGCAUCACCAGUGGGCAUACACACCGAAACACAUACAGGCCCGCUUCAUGAGAUAGGUCCGGUGCACUACCAAGCACUCUGUUCUUGGCCGGCAGCCUUGCAUUGGCAUUGGCACCUUGCGGCAGGAGUGCAGGGUGUGUUCACAUGUGUGCACGCGUGCAUGCAGGUGCAGCCAGUGGAGGCAGAACUACAGGAGCUAGCAUGACACGAGCUGUCCGGCACUAGAGUUGGAGACGGGCGCGGUGGCACCAGUGGCGGCUGCUGUGGAGGCGGGUGAUGUGCCGACUGCAGUGGAGGCGGGUGUCAAGGUGGUGGGAGACGUCAUGCCCAGCAGACACGCCAGUGGUUGUUGUUGCACGUUUGACACAUUCAUACCAUUUAGACAUCAUAUGACAGGCUUGGGUUAAUGGCACAGACGUAAUAUAGUGUUGUAGACAGUGGCAGACCAGGAGAGCAAGACUGUGGUGGGCUUUGAAUGCACGGAGACUCAGCUGGAGAGUGCCAAGGAGUAGGGAAGCAGAGGGCUAACUGAGUAUGGUGUUGUUGGUGAGUUGGACUGGGAACACAAGGCAGGUGACCUCCUCAAGGCAGUUGACAUGGGUUGGUGAGGGCACUUGGUACAAAAUGCAGCAGGCUGAUGUGUGUGGUCACUGCUAGGGCGGGGCUUGUAUAUCAAGGCGGCAUCAUGUAAAGGAGACACUUUACAGGCCACAAUGAACAACCCUAAACCCAGGCUGGCAGGCG
rnacentral:lncRNA from 1 species